rnacentral:lncRNA from 1 species
CUUAAAGUUCUACUAUACAAAGAAUUCAUGUACAUUUCCCCGUAAUUUAUUUCUCAAUCAUACACACAGAGGGUAGAGCGGGCGAGCGAGCUAGCUGUGGGCAAAUGAAGAAAGAUAAGAGAAGCUUUUGCGAGAGGCACGUGAGAAGCCCGUGCAGAUCGUUUGGCCGGAGAUGCAGUUUGCUACUGAAGGAACAAAGAGCAAAGUUCUACAUUCUCCGGCGAUGCAUCACCAUCUUGCUCUGCUGGCAAGACUAAUAAAUAUUUGUUAUGAAUCAAUCCACACACACAUAUAUAUGUGUAUGUGUGUAUGAGCGAUCGUAUUUGGGUUGAUGAAAUUUAAUUUCUUUCAUAUGUUGGAUGAAAAUUUUGUUUGAAUAUUAAUUAUAAGCCUAUGAAAGUUUCUUUGUUUUUGCUAUAAUAUUGUUCAUUUAUAAUGUCAUGAAGUGGGGUAUUUUUUUUUUGUUGACUUGUUUAUUUAUAUAAUUAUUUUUUAUUUACUGAUUUCCUAGUUUUUUGGUGUUGAGUUUGAUCUAUGCUCUGAAGUUCAGAAAAAUGGGGUUUGAUUAGUUGUUAUGAAUUUAUUGCUCGAUGUUAUGAAUUAUGGUAAUCAGGUUCUGAAAUUUAGUUACUAUUAAUUUUUAGAAACAUUCUAGUAUAAUAUAUAGAUGAGUCCUUCUAGAAGGACAUUUUUUUGAUGACAUUCUAGCGAUAUUAUUUUAUUUUUUGGGGGGGUUUUUUUUUGUAGUACCUCUCAAAAAAUGUAUAUUAUUUAUUUCAACUGAAAUUUUUAUAAAAAACAGUUUUUAGGUGUAAUUUGUAAAAAACAGUUUUUAGUCUGUACAGACCCUGUUUCUUGUAUGUAUCCAAAUUACGUCUAAUUACUGUUUUUUAUAAAAAUUUCAGUUGGAAUAAAUAAUAUAAAUUUUUUGAGAGGUACUACAAAAAAAAUCAAAAAAAAAUAAAAAAUAAAAUAAUAUCGCUAGAAAAUGUUCCCCUAGAAUUAUUGUAUAUAGAUAUUUUUGUUUAUAUAUAGCUAGGGAAGUUACUCCUUCGUUCCCAACAAAAAAAGUUUAUAUUUACAAAAUUUAUAAAUAAAUAUUAAAUUCAUGUUUUUAUUUUACAUUUACCUUUGAAAAAAUUAAAGAUGGUUGAUAAUGUUAAAAGAAAUUUUUUGUUAGAACAAAUAAAUAUUUAGUGAAGAUACUUGUGCAGUUAUAUUUCAACGACAUUUUAAAUUUUUAACGUGACUUAUUAUUUUGGCAAUAUACUUAUUAAUCUAAUAAUUAUCAAAAGUAAAUAAAUUUGUAAUUUAAUAGGGGUCACAGGAUUAAAAGUAAACCUUAAUUAAUCAGAUUGUCAUGAGUUCAAGCUCACACAUAGUUAUGGAGUUAGAUAUUUUAAAGUUAUAACCUCUAAUAAUAUUUCAAAAAUUUGGUGUGGAAGAAAUUUUUAUGAGUAUUAUGAUUAAUUUUUAGAAUUUCAAAGUUUUCAUAGAUUGUUUACUUUUUCUAUUUGUUGUAUGUUUUCAAAUUUCAGUGUUUGUUAUGUGUUGGUUAAAAUGUUGGAUUCUUGGCUUGUAAUUUCAAUUAAGAAAUUACAGAAGAAAAAUUGAUAUUAUCACAAAACUUCUCUCACAUGAAUAGUAAACGAGACUUACGGAAUUCAUAUUAAAGUGAAUGAGACUAAGUGAAAAUAUUAUUUUUUCUUGUAAAAAUAUCAAUUUUUUAAAUAUAUUUUAACAUAGUUAAGAUAGAAGGAAGAAGUAAAGAUAGAAAGUUGGGCAUAAAGUCUUUGUACAUAAAUUUUAACAGUUAAGAUAAAAAGUUAUUAUUCAUUAGACUAAAAUAUGGUGACACCUCUUUUAGAUAACUAUAAUAAUACUCACCACCCUUCUAGUUUUUUAAAUAAGAAUUAGUACCUCUACAAAUUGUUAGGGUUGACUAAAUAGAUAAAAUUACACAUUUACCCGUGUAUGUUAUUAAAUUUUAAUUCCUGAAUAUAAUAUAUAUAUAUGUGUGUGUGUGUGUGUGUGUGUGUGUUUAAUUAUCCUUUUUUAAAAUAAUACAUUUUAAUUAUAGUUUUAUUUGUAAUUCAAACUCUCUCAUUCAAAUAAUUUAAUUUAAUUAACACAUAUUUUUGGAUAAGUGAUAUAAAUAUUAAGAAUUUUAAAUUAAAUUAUUAAUGGAGGUUUUCUAAUUAAAGUAAGUGAGUAUGUUGAUAGUUUAGUUUUUGGUGUUUAACAAUAAAAAUUAUUAUUUGAAUUCUUAGUUUCAUAUUAUAAUUUUUAUAUGUUAAAUUUUCUUGAGUUAUAUGUCAAAAUUUGAGAUGUUUAUGAUUGUAAUUAUGUGACAACCCCAAAAUAGGUCCAUUCCAUCCAACCUAUUCUGAGUCGUCAGUUACAUGGUACAGAAAAUAACUACAACUUUAUUACAAUAAUUGUUGUGCAAAAUACCACAACACAUAUGUUGUGAGUUUGGAUACAAAUAUAUACCAACUGUGACACGUGUCCCAACCGUGGACAGCGCCUCACAGUGAUACCUUACAUAAAGGUAUAGUCAAAAACUGUUUUAGAAACUAAAAUCUUUGGGAAGUGCUCAAGGAAACCUUCGUACAUGGGAGGCCAUGCGUCUAAGUUAUGAUAGAUAUCAUAUGGCCACAGAAUUAUCCUUGGUUGACCCAAUAGACCCCAAAGAAAAACAAGAAGAUUACUAUAAUAUUCUUCCCAAUGGUGAGUCUUCUCUUGACUUAUCAUUAUCUCCACUGUCUCAAAUUGAGAAUUAUACUUCAAACAAACACCAAGAUUAUAUAGGUAGUGCUCGUAAAUAUACUCAGCAAGUGGAUGAGCACAACCCUGUCUUAUGAUGACACGAGGUUGUAUGUCAUUAGACAUCUUGUAUGAUAGUGGCAAAACACCCUUCCAACGUUGGGUUCGCCUCUCCCUAUAUGAUUCACCAAAUAUAACUACUAAAAGAUGUAUACAACACACUUGUCUAUACUGUUUAGGGAGAACUCCACAGCUAGAGACCACCGUUCUAUUCCCUUGUUACCCCCGCUCGACCCAGCUACACUUUUAUUACCUGAAAGGAAUUGUGAAGCAAAAGGGUGAGCACAACUAGCUCAGUAAAGAAUAUCAUGACUAAAGAUAAUUAAAUUAUCAAUAGCCUUCAUCAAUAACAAAUCAGAGAUUUAGAACAUAUGGUAGAUGAUAAAAAUUUCAACCAUAGUUGCAGCGGAACGAGCAAUCCAUUAGAAGAGUCAAAUAGACAAUACAGUCUAUUAUCUUCUCCAUGUUAAAAGUCCACCAACAAUGUUUUAUCCCUGUAACAUCAAUCAACAGCUCCUUUCCACAAUUAUAUGAAUAUAUCAUAAUCAUAAUUGUAAUUCUAAAUUCCUCUUCGUACCCAGGACGAAUAUAAUUUUCAUCACAUGUCUUUACCUGAAACAUCAAAGAUCAUGGUUAUACCAAAUCACAGUUCCUGUUCAUAAUCAUACUAAUAAAUUCAUCUUUGCACUACGGCCAAAGAUAUUCAUCCACAGUUCAUCUUCGCACCACUGGCCAAAGAUAUUCAACAACAGGUUGUCUUUGCACUACGGGCCAAAGAUAUUCAUUAACAGUUCAUCUUUGCACUACAGGCCAAAGAUAUUCCUCAACAGUUCAUAUUUGCACUACAUGCCAAAUAUAUUAAUAUCUCAAAGAAAUAUAUAAUCAUUUCAGAAUUUAUAUAAACAAUAAUUAUAACCAUGUUGAUCAAUUCACCUUUGCACUUAAGCUAAAGAUAUUCAAUUAUAAAUUCAAUGGUCAUGAUCAUACCAGUCACAAUUCAACUUUUCACUACUGGGCAAAGAGAACCCUAGUUAUGAUCAUACCAAUAAUCUACCCAUCUUUAUACUCAAGUGAAAGAGAAUUUCAACAUCAGGGUUAUAAAAAUGUUAUAUAUGAUAAUAAAAUUAAUAUAUAGUUUUAAUCUCCAGAGUAAUAUUCAUAAAUCAACUAUAAUUUGGUUAGAAAAAGAAACUAAUUUUGUAGUGAAUAAUACCCGUGAAUAGUAACUCGUGAAUAGUAACUCAUGAAUAGUAACACUGACACAAAAAGAUAGAAAUUCCACAAUAAAAUCCAUACCAAUAUUUCGGUAUAAUGAUAUUGAAAGAAUAACAUUUCUUAAACUUAUAAACAAUUUAUUUUAAUUGUUUACACUUUACUAAAUAAUGCAUUUAAUCAUCAUAAAAUGCCAAACUUAUAAGAUUUCAUCACCAAUAACCAAAACCCUCAUCAAAAAUCUGCAUAUACUACAUAUAUGAUUUUCAAGCCAUAAAAUCAUAUUUUCCAAUUUUCUUCUUUCACAUUACAUAUUUAACUCAUUUAUUCAUAACUAGUCCAUUUUUAUGAAAAAUACCAAAUCAGUUCCAAAAAUAUUUCUUUUCUGGGAUUUAUCAGAAUAUAGUCCCAUAUUGAAUAUAUAUUUUUCUUAGAAUUUUUAAAAUUCAUUUACUAUUUUUCAUAUGGCCAAAACCGUCGAAUAUUUAGACAUUUAUCAUAAAUUGUACUUUUAUCCAAAAAUUCCGAAAUUCACAGAGUACACUGAUAUUAUAUAGAUGUACUCCCAAUAAAAAGUUCAUCAAUUUUGGAGUUAACCACAAGAAAUUAUAAGCGGUUACUUUUAAAAUAGUCUUUUCUCAUAAAAUUCAUAACUCUUAAUAUAUACAUCCAAAAAUUACCAUUUUUGGAUACAAUCAAUAAAACUCAUCAACAUAUCAUUUCAAAUUUUUCCAGAAUUUUCUGAAAAUCAGAAGAAGUACGAAUUGAAAAACAUAAUAACCCUUAAAAUCCCUUACUAUCCCUUACCUCAAAAGAGCAGCACUUCUGACUGGAUAUCGGAUAUGACGCUGAAGAAAAUUUGCACUGAUGAAUAUCAACUCACCAAGUAUCUAAAUACUCAUAAAAUACACUCAAUAAUCUAGAGAGAGAAAGAGAGAAAACUUAUGUUUCUGGUGUGAUUUUCAAUUCUAACUUAGCCCUCUAUUUAUAGGAAAAUUUUAGCAGACUUGACCUGCAACCUGAUGGCUUUACCUGCUACUAUUCCCACCCACCACAUUUGAAAUAAAAUUCAGCACAUUUCUUCACCAACCACAAGUGGGGCCCACUCAAUUCUAGAAUUUUNNNNNNNNNNNNNNNNNNNNNNNNNNNNNNNNNNNNNNNNNNNNNNNNNNNNNNNNNNNNNNNNNNNNNNNNNNNNNNNNNNNNNNNNNNNNNNNNNNNNNNNNNNNUCUCCUUACUGGCGCGCAAUUAGAUGACCAAACCUCUCCUUAGACAGAACUUUCUAGACAUUGCCAAUAAUGUUAUCUAAUAAUAUUAUUCAGAUAAUAUGAAUUAUUGCUCCGAUAAUAGAAAAUACUGUGCAGUGACAAUUAUUAAAACAAGAGUAAUACAAAAUAUCAACACAGUAAUUAUUGAAUUAAUAAAAUAAAAUACCAAACAGUAAUUACUGUAACAAUUAUUGAGUCGUGCCUUCUUACGUAAGCAUCAAUAAUUGGUGCAAUACCGUGUGUUACUGUGUUUUAACCACCGGGUAUUCUAAUAGUAUUAACGGUAACAACUACGCCGUUAUUUAUAAAUAACUUAUUCUUGUCGUUUUCUUCCUCCAAUCGCUUUCCGCUAUGGGGCCCACACAAGGCUGCUCCGUCGUACGAAUAUUCCCCGACAGUACGAAUAUUCCCCGACAACAAUGAAUAUUUUAUAACCACUUGUGUAUUUUGAAAAAAAAUUCAUAUAUCACCCUUAACUUUAACUUUUAUCAAUUUAAUCAUUUACUGAAUAGUAAUUAUAAGAAAAAUUGAAUACUUUUAUUUCAUAAAUUUCGGGGUCUUACAAAUUACAUAUUUUUUUAGUAUAUAGUUGGUGUUAUUUUUAUACAACAUUGAAUAAAAGAAAAUAUAAUUAUAUUUAUUACUACCUCUAUCUUAUUAGAAGAAUUUUUUUAAUAUUUUUUUUUAGAGUAAUAACAUUUGUCAUUUUUAUUGUAAAUAAUUAUGCUUAAGAGUUACUUAUGUUUAGUUUAAUAUUUGAGAAAAAUAAUUAAUAUAAUUUGUAAUAAUUUUUUAUAUGAAUAAUCUCGGUAUGUAAUAAUAAUAAGUUUAUUUUACGUAAAUUUUAUUAUCUGGGAAAAAUAAUUAUGUUUGCAUUAAUUUGUACUUUUACGCUUAUUAAAAUUUUACUUUUUAAAUUACAAAAAAUAAAUUUGAAUGUAUAUUACGUAAAUUUUAAUUUUUAAAAAAAUUUAAUUAGCAAAAAGUGUAUGACUUUAUUUUCUUGAUAAAAUAAAUGUUUAUUAAUUUUUGAGAAAUAUGUUAUUUAUUAAUGCACAAAUUCAUAAUUUAAUUAAUUAGAUUAAGUUAAGUAAAAAUUAUAACAUAUAAAUUUGUAUUUAGUGGAUAUAUUAAAUAUUAUAACUUGAAGGGUAUAUUAGACAUUAUAUUAAAAAUAUUUUGGAAUAUUAGUUGGUCAACCACACUAGGGGUAGUGAAUGUUACUCCCUCCGUCCUAUAGUUAUAGACUGAUUUCUUUUGGCACAUAGUUUAAGAAAAUCAGUUUAAGUGACAAUUUUUAACAUAAAUUUUCCACAUAUACCCCUUAAUAUGAAAUUAAUGAAUAAGUUAAUUACUACUUACUUAUUACACUAGAACUCUCGACUUCAUUGAUUGACGUGUACUGACCAUUAAAGUCCAUAAUCAUAAAACUUUAAUCAAAGAGAAUACAACAACAUUAAAUAUGGUGAUAAAAAUAAUGACAUUGAAUAUUGUUUCUUCAAAAAAGAGUAAUGGUUGAAUAUUUAUUAUAAGGGCAUAAAAGUAAAAUAAUGAACCAACUAAAUUUUAUAAAUAGUAAGUAGCCUAUAUAUUGGGACAUCUCAAAAUAGAAAAUCAGCCUAUAAUUAUGGGACGGAGGGAGUACAUAUUAUAGACUAGGGGGUACUGACUGUUACUUAAAAAACUAAAGGGAUAAUGAGUGUUAUUAUGGUUAUUUAUUCAUUAACUUCAUGACUUUAUAUGUUUAUGUAAUCACUUUUAAAAUUAAAAUGAUAAUAUGCAAAUAGUCAAGCUAAAUAUUGAGAAAGUUUUAUGUCAAAUUACGAUUGCGACGUAUAUCAAUACAUGAGAUUGACUAAUAUUAUAUAAUUGACCAACUGUAUCAAAUACAUUAUAAAAUUUUAUCAACUAUAAUUAUCUACGUAACUCGUAAUAAAAAAAUUAACAUGUAAAGUUGUAAUAUAUAUUAUUUUUUAUAUGCAAAUUUUUUUAAAUUUUAAGUGAUUAUAUCUGAAUUUUACCCUAAUAAUCUUGAGCGCAUUACAAAUUGGGGAUACCAUAUUCCUUGAAUUUGGACGUAGGUUGUUAAUCGGAGUUCAAUUUAGGUUUUAAAAGCCAAUUUUUAGUAGUAAAAAACUAACAAGGCAGUGUUUUGACAAAAAAAUUAAUGAAAGGGCAACCAAUUAUGUAUUUAAUUUAUAUUUAUAAUAUAAAUAUCUUAUAAUUUUAUAUAUCAAAUUUAUUUAUUUAGAUAAAUAUAAACAAUAAAUUUUCAAAAACAUAUGUAAUAUUAUAAAUUUUACUCCCUCUGUCCCAUUAUAAUUGACGUUUUACCCCAUUUGAUUUAUUCCAAAAUAUUUGACAUUUAAGGAAAUCAAAGCAUAAUUAAUAUUUUUUUCCAAAUUUAUCUUUAUUUCUGUUUUCCAACAAGUGUUUAAUUAAUGCACAAAAUAAUUAAUUUUUCACUUCAUUAAAUUAGGUGUAGGCUACUUCCUUUCAGAAGUGGUUAGUAUGAAGUUUAUUUUGGGUAAUGCUAACCAAAUCCCUUCUUUUCAUAUUUCUUUGCUUCCCAAUACAUAUUCAAUAACAGUGAUAAUUUUAAUACUCCCUCCGUCCUAGGAUAAAAUGACAAAAUUGCCUAUAAUAAUGUCAUUUAAUAUAGGGAGAGAAUUAGAAUAAGUAAAGUAUGAGAUAUUUAAUGCUACGAGUAUAAUAGGAAAAUAUGUGUAAAAAUUUGGUUAUUAAAAGAAAAUAGACAUUUAAUAUGGGACUACCCAAAAUAGUAAUAAGGACUUUUAUCAUGAGACGGAGGGAGUAUACAAUAUAUAUGUGAGAGGGGAGAAAGAGAAUAGUUAUUAAAUAAGGGUAUUUUAGUCAUAACAAUAAUUUUUUAUUUAUAUUAAUAGUUUUUUUAAUUUAUGUGCAAAAAUCUUAAACGAUACUCCCUCCGUCCCUAUUUAAAUGACGUUUUAGAGUUUUUUAUUUGUCCAUAAUUAAUUGACGUUUGUUCAAAUCUAGGAGAAUAAUGAUAAUUUUUUCAAAAUUAUUUCUAUUACUCUAUUUAUUUUUUUGGUACUUUAAACUCUUGUAUUAUGAUAAAUUAAUAAUUUAAAAAUAUUAUAAAUAAUUAAGUACUAUAUUUAAUAAUUUUCAAUUAUUAUCUUAUUUUUUUGUGUCAUCGGAGGGAGUAUAUAAUUUUAUGUAUUAAUGACUUUAAAAGGUGUACUAAUACGAGAACCUAAUAAAGAUUCCAAAUGUUCCCACAAGGACAAUCCUUGGAAAACGUGACAGAGUGUACCCGCACACUCACACUGUUGACUGUUCAGGUCUCUCUCACUUUUGAGUUCUCAAUUUUAACUUUUCUUUCUUUUUCUCCGUUGAUUUGAUUGCCCCCUCGUGCGGCCCUUUAUUCACAUCUUUUCUCAACUCCAACAUUAGUAGGACCCGCCCACAAUAAUUUACUUAAACCGGAACUUCCAAAUUAGCCUACUCUGUGGCCUGGCAAAAUAUGACUGUAGUUUACAAAAUAUGACUGUGUUUCUAUUUAUUUAGAAAUAUAAUUACAUAAUUUAUUUUUAAUAUAAAUUAUAUGGAUUGAAAUUAUAUAAUUAUAGAUUUAAUAUAGGUCAAUUUAUAUUUUAAAUUUUAAGUUUAUAAUUAUUAUAGUCAAUUAAAAUAAAUUAUUUAUUAUAAUUAAGUUUUAUAUUCUUUAUCUUUUAUCUUUAAUUUUCUUUUUAUAUUAUAUCUCUAAAAAUUUUAAAAUUUAACAAGAAAUUAUGAACUUACAGCCUUAUUACCGUCUUGUUUUACACUUUGGUCGAAACCAAAAUACUCCUAUAAAAUUAUGAACAUAAAUUUAAAACAUAGAUAAAUAUAACUAAUUUGUUAAAAUAAUUUUUGAAUUAAAAUACUCUGUUCGUUCUAAAAUUAGAGAUACAAUUUAAAUUAAGAGUUCAAAUAACGACAUAUUAAACUUUAAAAUUGAUAUGACUCAAAAAAAUUUAGAAUAAAUUAAAUUUUGUAAUUAAUAAUUUUUUUAUAUACUAUAUAACUAUAAUAAUUAUAUUAAUUAAAAUUAAAUAAAUUCACAUCAAUUUAAAUUUUAAUAUGUCAUCGUUUGACUUUAAAAAUUAAAUUAUAUUUCUAAUUUUAAAACGAAAAUAAUAUUAUUUUAAGACAUCUUAAAAAGAUAAAUGCACGCUGGUUGUGACUUGUGAGAUGGAUGCCGUGGAUGGGGAAUAUCAAAACUAUAAUUUGUAAUGAUAUAAAAAUUAAAAAUGAUUCAUUAGAUUUUUUUUUUUACAAUAAUUAUAAUUCAGAACGAGAUAUCUGGUUCCUGAAGUUUUUAUAUUGAGAAGUGGUUAGCAUGAAGUUUAUUUUUGGGUAAAUUGAUCAAUUGAUCAAUAGAGUGCUGACAAACAGACGAUGUUCUAUAUAUAUCAAUAUUCUAUUAAUCAAUUGACCAAAUUAUUAAAAUAUAAAUUUCAUGCUAACCGGAUCCUUUAUAUUGAUAUCUUAGGCUUUGAAUAUUUGUGAGGGUCAGGACUCAGGUUGAGUACUAAGGAAAGGACAAUGGUAGACGCGUCAUGUACCAGAAUUUAAAUGAUUAAACUGUUCCCAAGUUUAAUCAGUAUUUAGCAAUACAAUGAUAUGGAUUUAGAAUGAAAAACAUGGGUUGAAAAUAAUUUAAUUGAUUCGGUUUUAUUUUUUUAUUUGAAAAUACGUGUAAGGCACCGAAUUUUAUAAAAUAAAAAUAUUUAAUUUUUUUUUAUAAAUAUUAUUCUAAAUAGUAAGAUAAUAAUUUAAUAAAUGCUAUAGUUAUGAGUGAUAUGUAUAAAUUUUACAAAGUAAGUAAGUUGUCAUAAAAUAUUCGUUGUGUUUGAGAAUAUUGUUUUUGUUGGAAAAUAUUCGUACGAUGACGCAAUCAUUGGUGGAUCCCACAAUAGAAUAAUUUCCGGAUUUAGAAAGCGACAAAAAUAACUUUUUUUAUAAAAAUACCGACAAGACUUUUACCUGUCGACGUCAGAAUUUUUAUUUGUCUCUUUCUGUUCUUAUCUUUUAGUGUUCUCAUUUUAGGUGAGUUUUGUUUAAAAAACAAAUUUGAAAAGGUCCAACAUGUAUAUAUCGACGAUUUGACUGUUAGAGUCGUUAGUUGAUAAUUUUUAAAUGGUUGCACCAACUCAACAGAGAAAAGAUUUGCACAAAGACCCAAUGGUUUGACACUGUUUAAUUGUCUUGGAAAUCGAGAUUCGUUAGGGUCUGGGGGCUUGAUUAAGCGGAGAAAAGGUGUUAGGCACCCUAACUUUCGUGAUAACACGGUUAUCGACACUUUCAUUAACUUUUUAUCUGCGUAUGUGUGUGUGUGAAUUAGGUCUAUGUGCAAUUGUCUAUAAAUAGUGUUAUGCAUCGUUUGCAACUAUAUACAAAUGGUUUGACUUUUGUAUAAAAGUUUAAUUUUAACAAGAUAUAGCAGUGAUGUUUUGGAAAACAAGUUUUUCAAACCCGUAUGCUCAAUAGUAAUUGAGGCUUUUGAUACUUUUGUUUUAUUAUGUUCGACUUGAUUGCUUUUAUUUUCGAGAUGCGAGACAUCUUCAUGAAAAUAAGAUACAUAGUAGUGCCAAACUCCUUGUGGACAUGAGAGCCAUCUAAGGAUAUACAGACACCGUAGAUAAUUUACAAGCUGACUGCAGCUGUAAAAUGUCAAUCACGGAAACCGAAUCUAGAUUCAGAGGCUGAAUCUGUGAUCACAUGAUUCCUAGGCUCACAUGAAAAAGCAAUAUGUAUAAACGCUAGAAAAAGAAAUAUAUUUGAAUAAAUCUAAACCAUUCUAGCUUCAACGGUUCUAGUUUAGAAACUUCUGAACCGGUCAAAGUUAGAAAUAGUAAGAUUUAGGCAAAUCUAUCCCGCAGGCUGAACAAUUAAAUAUCUGCAUUAUGAAAACAAUUAAAGAAGAUAUAUAUAUAUAUAUAUAUAUAUAUAUAUAUAUAUAUAUAUAUAUAUAUANNNNNNNNNNNNNNNNNNNNNNNNNNNNNNNNNNNNNNNNNNNNNNNNNNNNNNNNNNNNNNNNNNNNNNNNNNNNNNNNNNNNNNNNNNNNNNNNNNNNCAAGACGAAAAUAAAAGUUUUCCGAGAAAUUUUCCGAAAAAUACUAUUCAUCAAUUUCCGCUCAGAAAUUUUUUUUGAACUUCCGAGAAAUACGUAGCGAUAGAAUAUUGAGGUGAGAUAUAUUAUGUAAUAAUAAUUCAAGUAUGGAAAACGUAUUUUUUCGCAUGCAGACCUAAUUUGAGAACGUUAGGGAAAAUAAAGCGUUAGAAGUUAAUGUGAUGAUCGUAUGAUACGUAUGUAUUGUAUAAGGUAAUGAAUAUGAGUAUGUAUGAAUGAUUGUAUAUCGUAUAUUAUGAAUUAGUAUACGAGUGAGAAUAUGAGAAAUAUACGUAUAGUAUACGUUCUAAGGCUUUAAGCCAAUUAUAGUGGACUUGUGGGAUUGUGAAACAAUUUGUAAAGUCCAAUAGAAGUUAAAUUACAAGCCCAAAAGAAUAAGUUAGGCUAAUUGGAUUAAAGCCCAAUUUAAGAACCAAUGGGUAGCUUGAUCCAUGGGGCAACCCAUGGGUGAUCUUAGUGCCCAAGUAUUGGAUAAGUGUUUGUGAUGGCCAAGCAUUGACUGUGGUGGCCAAAUUAACUUAAUAGCUAGGGAAAUGAAUAGUAAGGAGGUGGGAUGGCCUAAUGACCAAACUACCCUAACUUAGGAAAUCCUAUAUAUACCAAGCUUUGGAUUUCAUUAUUUGCUUGUUCAUUUUCAUCCAACAACUUUCAACAAGUUAAGUGCUUAAGUGUUAGAGAGAAUAAGCAAGUUAAGUUAGACUUUCAAGAAGAAGAAGAAAAGCUAGUUCAUCAAAGGUCCUAUGUCAUAUAUCUCCCAUCUCUACCAUUGUAGGGUGAUAAGAGAAGUAUGGAGUAAUGAACAUGUAUGCUAAGAAAUCAUAAGAAUGGAUAAUCUAAGGACUUAAGUCUUAAUAAGCCGAGAAUAAGUACUUUGUUCAUAAUUAAGCUAUGAGCUAAGGAAGAACUUGUAAGACUUGUAUCAUGUUUACAUGAAUGAUGUUAGCAUGAUAAAAGGAUGUAAGAAUGAUAGUUAAACGACAUAAGCUAUCAUAAGUCAUGAGAAUUGUAACUAUAUGUAAUUAUACUUGGAUAAGUUAUAAACUCAUGAAGAAUAAGCAAUAACUUGUCAAAUAAAUAAAUUAAUGAAAUAAGUAGGUUAAGAUGUCAAUUUGAUGGAUAGAAUCCAUUUGGAACGAUGAAAAAAUCAUAAGUGAUGAAGUUAUGUCGUAAUUCACACGAUUGGACGAAAAUCGUCGAAUUCGUAAAAUUCUCGGAAUGGAAGUCGGAUUUUGGUUUUGAGCUCGGAAACGUUGGUUUUCAAUGGGAACAAGUCUUAUUGGGCAUUAUAGAGUUGCGGACUCAAAAAUGACCGAAUUCUGACUUAGAACGAAGAAAUGAGCGUUGUAUGAAAGUUUAUCGUUUUCGUUAAAAAUGAACCAAUAGGUGAAUUUUGAGUUAACGAAGUCGAAAAUAUAAAAUUCUUUCAUGAACACGUAGAGUAUGUGAUUUGUGAGCUAAUGACUUUUGAAUGAGCCAAUUCGGACUUAAAAUGAUCAAAUUUGGAGUUCGGGAAGUUCGUUAUGCAAAUCAAAGCUGUCAAUUGUCUGGUGCACAGAGCUAGCACUGCGGCGCCAGCCCAAGGCAUAUAGGCGGCCCUGCAACGUCGAGCAGUGCAGAGGAGAAGCUGUGACCUAUUGGAGUUUGGCACCACAGCGCGACCCAAUGUACUGAGUAUGGCGCCGCAUCGCCGGAACCGGGUGAAAGCCACUGAAGUUUGGCACCGCAGCGCGACUUAAGUAAAGAAAGCUGGCGCCGCAGCACCAGCCAUAGGGUUUUGACAGUAAAUAAUGUUUGUAAGUAGAGCAUGAAUGGUAAUUAAUUAACAAUGAACUAAAGCUUAAUUAUAACAUCGUAAGGCAUUGUUAAACAUUAAAGUAUGAUCAUUAAAGGUUAAUGAUAAUCAAUCGAACAUGAACGUAACGACAAUGUAAGUUAUAACGGCAAGCCGGAACCAAUAAUAAACAAUCUAAUACGUAAUUAGAUUGAGAAGAAGGGUAAGAUUCGUUAGGAAUCAUGUAUGUUAUUCAGGACCUAAUGUGUUACGUUAUAUGAUCAUCUACUAUAGAGACCUUAAAAACUUAAAGUGUACGUGUAAUUACAGUAGUAGACGCUGAAGGAAAGUGUUCUAACCUUUGUUUCAGUUCAAUCUGAACAAGCUUUGUGAUUCAUGUAUUCUUACGCAUGAAUUGAUGAAUGAUGGAGUCAAAGCCAGUUCUUUUGGCUAGACUUACGAUAUGUUGGAUUUCUUAUAAUCUAUUGAAAUAUUGUUAAUGUUUUAUCAAACUAUGUUGGUGUGAUUUUCAAAUGAAGACUGAGUAUGCUAAAAGGUUUUGUCGUCAAACGACUGACACGUGAGGUUGCCACAACUUAAACGUACAUACGUUUAAAGAAUGUAGUGUUGAUCAACAUAGAGUACUAUAGGCUGAUCACCUAGACGUGCUCGUAAGAUAUGCCAGACUUAGUGCCGGGUUGUCCUUUUCAAAGAAAGUAUGAAAUGUUCAUGGUCUUGGACCGAAAUUGAUGUUUUACUGAAUAUUGUCAUUGUAAAACGUUUUGAAGGAAAAGUGAAGUGCUAUUUUGUAUUACCAAUAGUACUUCAUAACUAUUGUUCAGUUAUUGAAGUACCCGUGAAUAGUACUUUGUGAAUAGUACACCGUGAAAAGUACUUUGUGAAUAGUACCGUAAAAAUGAAUACUACUCAUGGAUAGUACUCUGACAUGAAAAACUUAAAAUUUAACAAGAAUGUGCAGAAAAUAUCCUUGUGAAACGAUACUAGAUGAAGCGCAAAUUUCAAGAAUAUUCUACUAAUUUCGGGGAGUAUAGAAGCAAUACUUUAACAAAAUGAGGGUAUAAUCAGGAAUUCGAUACGAAAUAAUAUUACUCACAUACUAUAGAGUAUGGAAGAAAAUAUUAUUCCUUAUAAAUACUGAAAAAAAUAAUCUCCCUUACCUCAGAAGAAGACUGGAUACUGGAAUAGUGAAGUAGCAGACUUCUCUUCUUCUUUCUCUCUAUAGCUUCUCUCUCUAUAAUUGCUCUUGUGAGUCUUAGUGAAUUGGUGAGAAUGAAAGAAGAAUGAGCUUCUAUUUAUAGGAAAAUAUAGUUUCGAUAAUUGCACGUUUUGGGGCUCGAAAUAUUACAGUAUAAUACCUUCAUCUUUUCCUUCAUUUUUAAUUUAGUCAUGCAAGUAUUAUCAAACUUGCACCACCUCCCCUAAUAGUACAUGAAUUUGAAUCAAUAAUACAUUCAUAUGAAUCAAUAGUUCUAUACAUGUGAAAAAAAUAGUUACGGUAUAGUACCUUCAUCUAUACCUCUAUUUUUAAUUUAGUCAUGCAAGUAUUAUCAAUCUUGAACCACAUCCCCUAAUAGUACAUGCAUGUGAACAAAUAGUUAUAAGCAUGUGAAUUAAUAACAAUUAAUUGCUCAUUUAUCCGAUUAAUUACCCGAUUGGUCAAUAUAACCUCCGAAAAUUAAUUAUUAUAGAAAUAAUGUCGAUUUCCACUAACACUAAUAAUCCCAACACAAUGGAAAUAUCAAUUUCAUUUUUAAUCAACACGAACUUAUUCAUCAUUAAUAUUAUAACUCACAAUAUUUAACAACUAGAUCAUUCCCUGGAAAGAGGGGGCUUUCCGAUAAGAAUUUUUCCCUAUUGGCGCGCAAUUAGGUGACCAAACCUUUCCUUGACAGAGCUUUCUAGACAUUGUCAAUAUUUUAAAUAAUAAUAUGAAUAACUUUGUCAUCUCAAUUAUUAAUUUAAUAAUAUAAAAUAUUAUGCAGAUGAUACUGUGACAAUAAUUGAAUCAAUAAUAUGAGAGAUAUUAUGCAGCAAUUACUGUAGCAAUAAUUGAGUAUAACUAAGUGACUUCUCACGUAAGCAUCAAUAAUCAAUACCGUGUGCUACUAUGCAACAACGCGUAUUACUGUUCUUUUACCACAGGGUAUUUCAACAGUUUAACGGUAAAACUUUUGCCAUUACUUUAAUAAAAAGAUAAUUAUCUCAUUUUCUAACUCCGACAAUAAUUCUGUUUGUGGGGUCCACCAAUGAUUGUGCCGUCGUACGAAUAUUCCCUGUUAAAACGAAUAUUCCCCGACCAAUCGAAUAUUUUAUAACCACUUGCUUACUUUGCAAAAUUUGUAAAUAUUACCCACAACUAUAAUAUUAUAUCAAAUCCAUAUCAUAAUAUUCAAAAAUAUAUUUUGAGAAAAAUUAAUCUUUAUUCAUAAAAGUUGGGGUCUUACAACCUCCCCUUCUUAUGAAAUUUUGUCCUCGAAAUUAGGGUGCGUACCUGGUAUGUUGAAGAUGUGAGGAUACCUUGACUUCAUUUCAGAUUCUAACUCCCAGGUCAUUUCCUCAACAUUGUGGUUUUUUCACAAAACUUUAACUUGAGGUAUAACCUUGGAGCGUAGAAUAUGAUCCUUCUUAUCCAAGAUUUUAACAUGUACCUCUUCAAACAUUAUAUCUCCACCUUCUCUCCAUACAGGUAAUGCCUCCAAAUCUUAAGCGCAAAAAUGACAUCUGCCAACUCUAGAUCAUGAGUAGGAUAAUCCUCUCAUAUUCUUUGAGUUGUCGUGAGGCAUAGCCUAUGACUUUCCCAUGUUGCAUGAGAAUACAUCCUAACCCUUUGCCUGAAGCAUCACUGUAGAUAAAAAAUCCCUCCGAGCCAGAUGGUAUUGUCAGAACAAGUGCUAAAAUGAGUCUCCUCUUGAGUUGUUGAAAACUCUUCUCACAUUCCUCGCUCCAACCGAAUUUUGUAUCUUUCUGAGUCAGCUGAGUUAAUGGAGUAGCGAUUCGAGAAAACCCUUCUACAAAUCUCCGAUAAUAACUAGCUAAGCCGAGAAAGCUACGUACUUCGGUCACUGACUUAGGUUGCUGCUAGCUUUGAAUUGCUUCAACCUUUGCCGGGUCAACGGAUAUUCCAUGAUUUGAUAUCACGUGCCCAAGGAAUGCUACUUCCUCAAGCCAAAACUCGCAUUUCUUCAACUUGGCAUAUAGCUUAUUUUCACGAAGCUUUUGGAGUAUCAGCCUCAAGUGUUGCUCAUGAUCUUCACGUCUUUUGGAGUAUAUGAGGAUGUCAUCAAUAAAGACAACCACGAAGUGAUCCAAAUAUUCCUUGAAUACUCGGUUCAUCAUAUCCAUGAAGGCAGCAGGAGCAUUAGUCAAUCCAAAAGACAUGACUAGGAAUUCAUAAUGCUCGUACCGAGUUCUGAAAGCAGUCUUUGGGAUGUUAUUGGUUUUAAUCUUUAACUGAUGAUAUCCAGAACGAAGAUCGAUCUUUAAAAAGAAUUUGGCUCCUUGUAACUGGUCAAAAAGGUCAUCAAUGCGAGGCAACGGGUACCUAUUUUUGAUGGUGACAUGAUUCAACUCCCGAUAGUCAAUACAAAGUUGCAUACUUCCAUCUUUCUUCUUCACAAAUAGAACAGGAGCACCCCAAAGAGACGUACUAGGACGAAUGAAACCGAUAUCUAAUAAUUCCUAUAGUUGGGUUUUUAACUCCUGAAGUUCAAUAGGAGCCAUUCAAUAUGGGGCUUUGAAAAUGAAUUUUGUACCAGGUUCAAGGUCAAUACCAAACUCGAUUUCACGCUCUGUGGGUAGGUCAGGAAGUUCUUCAGGGAAUACAUCAGGGAAUUUAUUAACAAUAGAAAUAUCAUUCAAAUCUCACGUAUUUUUGUUUAAAUCUGUGACAUGGGCUAAGAAAACUUGACAUCCGUUUUUCAAUAAACGAAUAACUUUAUGGCUUGAUAUGACAGUGAUUGACUUUAGUGGUUUGGUUGUUUGAAUUCGCAUAAUAGGUUGGUUAGGAAUAUGAAAGCUAACAACCUUACGAAAAUAAUAAAUUUUUGCAUGAUGAGUAGUUAACCAAUCAAUCCCUAAAAUCACAUCAAACACAAGUAUUUUUAAAGAGAUAAGGUCGACAGGUAAUGUGCGAGUGCCGAUUUGGAUCAAACAAGACUUAUAAACAGUGGAUGUAAUGAAGGUUUCUCCCAACGGAGUUUCAACAGAUAAGUCAAAGUCUAAUUUCUCAAGAGUCAAAUUUAAACGUUGAGCGCAAGUAGAAAAAAAUAAAAGAAUGGGUAGAACCGGUAUCAAAUAAGGUAUAGACUUCGCUAGAGUUUAUGAUUAGCUUACUCGUGAUCACCUCAUUCGGAUUCCUCGCUUUUUGGGAGGUUACGAUAAAAGCUCUCCCUUGAACUACCGGUUUUGUCUUGUCUGGGACGGCCUUUGAUGCCUCCAUCCCAGCUGGACUUGUCUUCUGUGCACGACAAAAUCGAGCUAGGUGACCUUCUCUUCCACAAUUAUAACAUGUUUUGGACUGAUGCGUACAGUUUGGACUGAUGUGUGCCUCCCCUCCACAUUUUUAAUAUACGACUGACGGUCGUUCUCCUUCCUUAACAACAGGUGAUGGUGCUGACGUCUUUCCAUCAUUAUUGAAUUUUCUCUUCUCAAAAUUUCCACUUCUAUUAUCUUGGCCAUGAUUACCACCGAAGUGGUUACCAUUUCUGGCAUGUUAAUUCCCUCCACAUUUGUUGUCACCGCUUCGAUAACUGCUACCACUGGUAUUAUCAAUUUGCCAGCUACUCUCUCUUGGUUGGGUUGAGUCAUUAUCGCGCUCCAAUAACUGAGCCCUAUUUACAACAUCUGAAUACAAACACAGUUUGUGAGAAAUUAGGUAUUGACGUAUCUCAGGUUUCAAACCUCUUAGAAACAUCCAUUCUUUCCUCAUUAUCAACUAAGUGGGACGCAAACCGAGACAACUCGGUAAACUUAGCUUCGUACUGUGACAAGGUCAUAUUAUUUUGCUCCAGCUUGAUAAACUCUACCUCCUUCAUGUGACGAAUACUUUCGGGAAAGUACAUGUCGUUGAACAGUUCUUGGAAUUUCUCCCAAGACAUCUUCAGUGCGGAAGGUUGAGUACGCUUUACAGAUUUCCACCAGUAAUCUGCCUCUCCUCGCAACAUGAAGGUGGCAAAGGGAACCUUUUGCUUCUCAGAGCAUCCUAAGACAUCAAAUAUCUUGGUCAUCUGCUUUAUCCACGUCUUUGCCUUAAGUGGUUUUGGCUCUCCCAAAACCUCCGGUGGUCCUAGCUCCUUAAACUAUUUAGUGGUGACCGUCCGAGAGUUGCCAGUGUUUCCACCUGCAUUUUGAACAGGAGUCGUUCUCGCCUGAUGUUGUAUGAAUUGCAUAAAGCCUCUGAACAUCCCAUCGUUCAUUAUUUGGUCAGCGUUGUUGUUUUCCUUAGGAUUAUUGCCAUCCUGAUGCACAUUAUCCUGGGUAUUGAUUGUUGGUGACUCAACGGUCUCAUGUGCUUCAUUGCUUAUCUAAACAUUUUUGGAUGCCAUUAUCAAAUACUGCCACAAAACAAGGGUUAAUUGACAUGUCACAUAUUAUCCCUAUACUCUGACCGUCUAAAUAAAUACCAAAUAAACUUAGGUAGGUCAUAUUAGCGAAGGAAUUUCCCGUCUCUCCCCUCGUAGUUCUAGUCUCACAUCUCAGCCAGGGAUCAUAUCUCUAAGCUUUGAUACCAACUGUGACGUCCCCAACAUAGGUAUGCAUCACCCAUUCUGAGUCGCCAAAUACAUGGUACAUAAAUCAAAUACAAACUUCUUUUAAACAAUACGACAACAGUGUAGCUUAGAGUUUUUACACGAAUAUUGUCUCAUAGACAGUAUUCAAACUCAAAUGAAGUCCUCAUUAUAUUUAUUAUCACACUAUUUCAUAAAAUAGUGAGGACUACUAUAGCCACCAUCUCGAACCGUCACUCUGUUCCCCGACUAGACCCAGCUACGUUCUCAUUUCCUGAAGAGAAAAAUGAAAGCAAAAGGGUGAGCUCAACUAGCCCAGUAAGAAAUAUAAUGACUAAGAUAAUGUGUAACGCCCCAAAAUUCGAUCUAUCUUAACACCCAAAUUCCGUACGUCACGAGUACUGUGACAACCCGAGAAUUUGGAAUAUUUUUAAAAUUUUUAUUAAUUGAUUUAAGGUUCAAUAUUAGAACGUAUGCAGAAAAUAAGUGUAUGCGUUUGAUAUUUUUAAGAUUGAAUUUUGAGGAUUUCAAAAUUCUGUGAAGGAUUUAGGUGAAUUAUUCAAGAUUGAGUAAUACGUGAAUAUGUUCUGUGUAUAUGUGUGCAUGAUGUGGUUAAGGGUCAAGGGUUGACCAGAUAAACGAUAUCUGUAACAAACCCUAAGUAUAUAUUAAGAGCGUCAACGUUCGGUUCAAAAACCCUAGCGAUUAACAAGAAACCCUAAAACCGGUUCUGGAAACCCUAAUUUCAGUUCCGGGAAUCCGAAACCCUAAUUCAGUGCAUGAAAACCUAAAUCAGGAAUUUAAUGGCGUAAGUGUAAAUAAUUAUAGUAUAUUAAUUAGGGUAAAGCUUAAUUAAUUAGUAAACCCUAAUUUCACAUUUUGAAAACCCUAAUUUCUGGUUUAGGAACCCUAAUCAGCGAUUUUGACCCUAAUUGCUUAAAUAGCGAUUUUAAUUAGGAAAUACUAAUCCUAAUUAGCAAUAUUUAAAUUAUGAUUAAGAAAUUUUAAUAUAAUUAGAAAAUUCUAAUUAUAAUUUAGAAAUAUUAAUUUUUUAUUUUUGAAAACCUAAAUUGGAAAUUUUAGAAAAUAAAUUACAAACCCUAAAUUGGCUCAAACUCUAAACCCUAAACCUUAACUAAACCCUAAACCCUAAGGGUUUGGUCAAAUGUCCAAAAUGCCAUUAAAAUAAAAUGGAAAAUGACUAGAAUGCCCUUUGUGUAUUAUUUAAUGGUUGGAGUGUAGAUCUUGCCAUGAUCUUGGUUUGGUGAACCACCCUAGACCUAGCAUUUGACUUAUAGCUCACUUAUCAGCCAUCUUGGCCAGCCAUAUACAUUGCAUCUUGAGUUUAAAAGCAAAAAGCCUAGAAAAGUGAAUUACUUUACUCUUCAAAAUAGCCAAGUCCCUUCUCUCUCUAUAUUUUCGGAUCUUAGAGUGAGAAAGUGUGAGAAACAAAGCCAAGGUCAUGUAAUAACACACCAAGAACAGAUCAUGAUGAUCAGAUUCAAAGAUCAAAGCUUAGAAGGUAUAUGAACCCUAAACCUAGAAAUUUCAUGAUUUGAUGUAAUAUGUUGUAAUUUGUUGGCUAGAUAUGUGUUAGAGGGUGUCAUUUGAUGAUCUGGGUUGUCCAAACUCAGAUCCAUAUCAUUUUGAUGCUCAAAAUUUGAGUUUUCAUAAAUCUGGAAAUCUGGAAAAUUAAAGCCUGACAGCCUAAAGUCAGGACCUUUAGAUCCGUGUGUGUUAAGUCUUUUGUGUAGUUUAUGUUAUAGAUCUGUAGUAUGCCAUGUUGUCUUUAAUUUGGAAUUGAAAUCGUAGCUAUUGGAUGUAUAGAUUUCAUUUUUAUUCGUGGUCAAACACGGUUGACCGAGCUUGACCGGCUUAAUUAUGGGUUACCCAGAAUGCCUUGUCUAGUGUCUGACAGCGUUUUGUGGCCUUGAGAUCUGUCAGUAUAAAUGUGAUUUGUUGAUGUUAUGUUAUUCAAUGUGUAGCCUGUUGUUUGGACUGUAGACACAUACCUUAAGAUCCUUUAGAACAUCAACCGAUCGAGUGUUAUAAGUGGUAAAAAUAGGCUAAACGAACACGGAUGACAUUUAUGGAAAUUUCCAGAAAUCAUAAGAACAUGAUGUCUGACAAGGUUUGACCGUGUCAUAAUCUAUGGAUCUGUUGUUUCUGGACUGAGAUAUUAUUAUCUCGUUGUUGUUUGUCAUGUGAGCUACGAUUAUAAACCAAGAAACAACCAAAAUAGUUAACAGAACACUUAGAUAAAUGAGAUUGAAAGUGGCAGCUCGAGUUUCUGGGUUUCUGAAGAAACCCAGGUUUAGUCUCUGACAGGUACUUUGAGAGUCCAGAUCAUUUUGAUGUAUUAUUGUUUGAUCAAGUUGUUGGUUGUGUAUUGUAGUGUUACAUAAACACUACACGAUCACAUUUUAAACUAUCCUAGAACAUGAUCAGAUUUGAUUUUAUUAACGGUCAAAGUUGACCCCUUGAAGUUGCCGGCUGUCAGUGUUCUUGAGCUCAAGAACACCAACAGCGACGGUUUCUGUCGUUAUAGACAUUUAGCGACGGUUAAUUUAAUUUUUGAAUUUCUGAUUUUCCCGAAAAUACUUAAAAAUAGAUAAAAAUUGUUUUUAAUUAUUAAAAAUAUAUAUUAAAUUAUGAAAAAUUAUUUUAAAGCUUGAAAAAUAGUUUUUAAUUAUUUUAAGUAUAUUUCAUAAAUAUUUAAUAUUUUUGAAAUUUAAAUGGUAUUUAAUUUAUUUAAUUAUAAUAUUAAAUAAAUAAUUUAAAAAUGAUUUUUAAUUCAUGAAAAAUAAUAUUAUGGUAUAAUAAAAUAUUUUUAGUUAUUUUUAGUGACUUUUAAUAUUUUGGGAUGAAUUUCAUUAAUUAAUCAAUAUUAAUGAUAAUUAGUUUAUUUAAUAAAUAUAUUAAAUAAAUUAUGGAAAAAUAGAAUAAAUGGUUUAUAAAUUAUAUAAAAAUGAUUUAAGGGUUAGAAAAAUAUUUGAAGUUAUAAAAUAUAACUUUUGAUAUUUUGUCAUGAAAAUAUUAAUAUUUUAACAUUAAUAGUAAUUAUCGGAUAAUGAAUUUAACGGUUUAAAAAUCAUAUAAAUAUGAUUUUAAAGUAUUAAAAAUACUUUGAUAUAUUAUAAAUAUAUUAUAAUAUUAUGACAUGUAUUUCAUUAAUAUUUGAUAUUAAAUAAAUAUUAAUGAUAAAAGAAUUAUGUGGUAUUUAAUUAAGUUAAAUACGUUAUUAAUGAUUGAAAAUACGUGAUAAAUAGUAAUAAUUAUUUAAAACUUAUUACGAGCUUACGAAAAAUAUUUUGACUGAUAUGAAAAUUAUUUAAGUUAUUUGUUAAGUGUUUAGUCAGAGUUUAAUUGAACUUAGACUCGAUAAAAGUCCGACUAGACCGUCGGGACGUUAGAAUUUUGUCGGGAUCAACUCAGACUGUAAUAGUUUGACUUGAUACUGAGUUAUGUAUGUUGUAGACUGAUAGGAUUAUGUGUUAUGUGUUUAGGUUAUUAUAUGUAUAUAUAUAUAAUUGUAUUAUAUUGUGAUGAUAUUAUUCUAAUAUUGGAGAUCUAUAUUACUAAUAUUAGGUCUUCGGAUAAGGCGAUAUAAAUUGCGUAGCGGUAAUCAACGGUUCAGGCAAGUUUGUUUUUCUUAACUAUAUUAAGAGUGUUUCAUUCGGAUAAGCUUAUGGUUAAUCAUUGUUGAUUGCCAUGUAUAAUUGUACUAUGUACAUAUUGCAUGUAUAAGUCAGGUAUAAAAGGCUGAUCACCUUCAUUACCAGUUGUUUCAGAUAUAUUUGUUCAUGUAUAAUACUUGUUCAGUCAUAAAUUUGUUCCUGCUAGUUCACAAUUAUAUUGUUGAAUUAUAGCCAGCCAAUUAUUCAAAUCAUUUCAAUCAUGAUAUAUCGUUAUAUUGUUAAAUUUAAACUUGCUGGGCAACUUUCAUGCUCACUCUUGCUAUAUCAUGAUAAACAUUGCAGAUUAAGACGAACGCGUCGGAUACAGGAAAAGAUUAAAGAAAGUUCCAACUUUAGUUUAUGUAUGUGAUUAAGAAUGUAAUAGUGUAGUUUGAUAAUAAAGUUAUGUGUUAGAUAUUUAUGAAUUAUGUAUAAGUUAAGGUUACUCAACCUUGGGGAAUAGUGUAUAAUAUAAUGUAUAAACAAUUUAUGUUUAUAUCUUCCGUAAAUAGUAAUAGUUGUAUAGAAUGAUAGAACCGAAUCUGAGGUGAUUUAGGACCUGGAUUCGGGGCCGUCACAGUUGGUAUCAAAGCUGUAGGGUAUGAAGCUUAGGUAGGAAUACCUGAGACUAAUAAUCGCAGUGAUUAGGAUAUGAUCUAACUCACAUAGAGUUAGUUGGUCGGUAGGAUUCAAAGACGAAUCUCGGCGAGUUAUAAGAUACAGAGUUCCCUAACUCUGAUAAUAAAGUUGAACAGUAAUGAUGAAUAGAUAGAGUCUAAAAGACUAAAAGUGCAGUGAUAGAAGAUCGUAAAACAAAACGAUCAAGAUAUAGAAAUGAAUCGUAAUAUAUACGAUAAGAUCACCCCGUGAUCUGAUAAAGUGAUAGAAUGGAAAGAAUCAAUCUAAUGAUUGAAAAGUUUACAGAAAAGUUUGCUAUGUGGCAGUUGUACUAUGAAAAACUCAAGAAAGAGUUAUGGAUUAUGAAUACGGAUUAAAUGAAAUUCAUAUUGAAAAGGGUGUUAGUGGUAGGUGGGGAUUCAAUUGAGGACUCGUGUCAGCCGUUGAGUUGUAUGAUUCUUCGUAUGGGAGCUGAAUUGUACAUGGUGUAAAAACCACUUAAUUUCUGGCAAUGAUAAUCAUUGAAAUGUUUGUGUCGCGCUAUUUACUAUAUGCGUGUUAAGAGGGUGAUUCCUUUCUCAUGUGUAUAACAGAUAGAUAGGUCAUAGGUAGAGGAUAUAAGGUUAAGUACGAGUUCUUAAAACUCAUACUUAUGUGACAUACUUGAUUCAUAGUUAUAUGAAAUUUUUAUGAACCCCUCAACGAAUGGACACCAAAGGUCUGGCUAGGACAAGUUCUUAAACUCAUAUGAUUGUGGUAAUUUAUGGACUCAUAAGUGUGGUUUGAAGAACUGGGUAUAGUUGUGUGUAAAUGGAAUAUUGAGGAUAAUAGAAACAGAUAGAUUGUUAAGCAAAUGAUUAUUAGUGGAGACCUAAGUUUUCCAAAACUCCUAGCUAUGCUAGACUUCGAAAUGUUGACAUCAAGCUAAAUACGCACUAUGUGCCUUUAAAAAAAAUAAUAUGUAGACUUGUAAUCAUUUUUGAAACGGUUUAAAGUAUAGUCUAUGCUACUUAUUUCAGCUAGACACAAAUGAUUUGAAAUAUCAAAUUUUUUUUUAUUUAUCAUUCAUGUACCAUGUAACCUGGUGCAGAGAUGAUAUAAAUUUGAUGGAGUUGUAAAUACAGGAAUACUUAGUGUGAAUUUGAUCUAAAAUCGUUGUUCCACUAUUGUAUGAUGUGUUAUGACAAAGUCAUACAAUGACGGCAUCCUCAAACGGACUGUUAAUACAAUACGACAUCAUGGCGUCAUUCUCGAAAAUAUUUUCAAAAAUUUUAAUUUGCCAACAGGGUUUGGCUACACCUGAAUAAUUCGAUUGAAUUGAAUUAUUGAUAUGAGUCUAUGCUAUUCGAUUCAGCUAGACUAAUGUUAUGAAAACACUAAAGUGUUCAUUGAAAGAAAUUUCCCGAACCAAAUUGCUUUGGUACGGAAUCCUAUGACAAGACUGAGGUGAACUAUGUAGAUUGGAUUAAAUAAUUCAAUAGCGAGAAUAUUCGCAAGACAUGAUAAACGUACGUACCAGCAAUAGUAGUUUACCUUCUUCGUGAUUGUAAACAUAUUGUUAACCUAUAUAAGGGGUCGAGUACCUUUUUCUUAAUUGAAAUUGGUAGUACGUAGUAAUACCUAUAAACCUCAAUAGUUCAUGGUCUAUAUGACCCCUCAGUACAAUUUGAAAACUUUUACUCUUCUGAGAGGUGUAUUGGGUAGCAAAAGAAUGUGUGUGAAUGGUGUAAGGUGUAAGGUAAAUUUCAGGGACGAAAUUUUUAGAAGAAGGGGUGAAUGUGACAACUCGAGAAUUUGGAAUAUUUUUAAAAGUUUUAUUAAUUGAUUUAAGGUUCAAUAUUAGAACCUAUGUAGAAAAUAAGUGUAUGCGUUUGAUAUUUUUAAGAUUGAAUUUUGAGGAUUUCAAAAUUCUGUGAAGGAUUUAGGUGAAUUAUUUAGGAUUAAGUAAUACGUGAAUAUGUUCUGUGUAUAUGUGUGCAGGAUGUGGUUAAGGGUCAAGGGUUGACCAGAUAAACGAUAUCUGUAACAAACCCUAAGUAUAUAUUAAGAACGUCAACGUUCGGUUAGAAAACCCUAUCGAUUAACAAGAAACCCUAAAAUCGGUUCUGGAAUCCCUAAUUUCAGUUCCGGGAAUCCAAAACCCUAAUUCAGUGCAUGAAAACCUAAAUCGGGAAGUUAAUGGCGUAAGUGUAAUAAUUAUAGUAUAUUAAUUAGGGUAAAGCUUAAUUAAUUAGUAAACCCUAAUUUCACAUUUUGAAAACCCUAAUUUCUGGUUUAGGAACCCUAAUCAGCGAUUUUGACCCUAAUUGCUUAAAUAGCGAUUUUAAUUAGGAAAUACUAAUCCUAAUUAGCAAUAUUUAAAUUAUGAUUAAGAAAUUUUAAUAUAAUUAGAAAAUUCUAAUUAUAAUUUAGAAAUAUUAAUUUUUUAUUUUUGAAAACCUAAAUUGGAAAUUUUAGAAAAUAAAUUGCAAACCCUAAAUUGGCUCAAACUCUAAACCCUAAACCUUAACUAAACCCUAAACCCUAAGGGUUUGGUCAAAUGUCCAAAAUGCCAUUAAAAUAAAAUGGAAAAUGACUAGAAUGCCCUUUGUGUAUUAUUUAAUGGUUGGAGUGUAGAUCUUGCCAUGAUCUUGGUUUGGUGAACCACCCUAGACCUAUCAUGUGACUUAUAGCUCACUUAUCAGCCAUCUUGGCCAGCCAUAUACAUUGCAUCUUGAGUUUAAAAGCAAAAAGUCUAGAAAAGUGAAUUACUUUACUCUUCAAAAUAGCCAAGUCCCUUCUCUCUCUAUAUUUUCGGAUCUUAGAGUGAGAAAGUGUGAGAAACAAAGCCAAGGUCAUGUAAUAACACACCAAGAACAGAUCAUGAUGAUCAGAUUCAAAGAUCAAAGCUUAGAAGGUAUAUUAACCCUAAACCUAGAAAUCUCAUGAUUUGAUGUAAUAUGUUGUAAUUUGUUGGCUAGAUAUGUGUUAGAGGGUGUCAUUUGAUGAUCUGGGUUGUCCAAACUCAUAUCCAUAUCAUUUUGAUGCUCGAAAUUUGAGUUUUCAUAAAUCUGGAAAUCUGGAAAAUUAAGGCCUGACAGCCUAAUGUCAGGACCUUUAGAUCCGUGUGUGUUAAGUCUUUUGUGUAGUUUAUGUUAUAGAUCUGUAGUAUGCCAAGUUGUCUUUAAUUUGGAAUUGAAAUCGUAGCUAUUGGAUGUAUAGUUUUCAUUUUUAUUCGUGGUCAAACACGGUUGACCGAGCUUGACCGGUUUGAUUCUGGGUUACCCAGAAUGCCUUGUCUAGUGUCUGACAGCGUUUUGUGGCCUUGAGAUCUGUCAGUAUAAAUGUGAUUUGUUGACGUUAUGUUAUUCAAUGUGUAGCCUGUUGUUUGGACUGUAGACACAUACCUUAAGAUCCUUUAGAACAUCAACCGAUCGAGUGUUAUAAGUGGUCAAAAUAGGCCAAACGAACACGGAUGACAUUUCUGGAAAUUUCCAGAAAUCAUAAGAACAUGAUGACUGACAAGGUUUGACCGUGUCAUAAUCUAUGGAUCUGUUGUUUCUGGACUGAGAUAUUAUUAUCUCGUUGUUGUUUGUCAUGUGAGCUACGAUUAUAAACCAAGAAACAACCAAAAUAGUUAACAGAACACAUAGAUAAAUGAGAUUGAAAGUGGUAGCUCGAGUUUCUGGGUUUCUGAAGAAACCCAGGUUUAGUCUCUGACAGGGACUUUGAGAGUCCAGAUCAUUUUGAUGUAUUAUUGUUUGAUCAAGUUGUUGGUUGUGUAUUGUAGUGUUACAUAAACACUAUACGAUCACAUUUUAAACUAUCCCAGAACAUGAUCAGAUUUGAUUUUAUUAACGGUCAAAGUUUACCCCUUGAAGUUGUCGGCUGUCAGUGUUCUUGAGCUCAAGAACACCAACAGCGACGCUUUCUGUCGUUAUAGACAUUUAGCGACGGUUAAUUUAAUUUUUGAAUUUCUGAUUUUCCGGAAAAUACUUAAAAAUAGAUAAAAAUUGUUUUUAAUUAUUAAAAAUAUAUAUUAAAUUAUGAAAAAUUAUUUUAAAGCUUGAAAAAUAGUUUUUAAUUAUUUUAAGUAUAUUUCAUAAAUAUUUAAUAUUUUUGUAAUAUAAAUGGUAUUUAAUUUAUUUAAUUAUAAUAUUAAAUAAAUAAUUUAAAAAUAAUUUUUAAUUCAUGAAAAAUAAUAUUAUGGUAUAAUAAAAUAUUUUUAGUUAUUUUUAGUGACUUUUAAUAUUUUGGGAUGAAUUUCAUUAAUUAAUCAAUAUUAAUGAUAAUUAGUUUAUUUAAUAAAUAUAUUAAAUAAAUUAUGGAAAAAUAGAAUAAAUGGUUUAUAAAUUAUAUAAAAAUGAUUUAAGGGUUAGAAAAAUAUUUGAAGUUAUAAAAUAUAACUUUUGAUAUUUUGUCAUGAAAAUAUUAAUAUUUUAACAUUAAUAGUAAUUAUCGGAUAAUGAAUUUAACGGUUUAAAAAUCAUAUAAAUAUGAUUUUAAAGUAUUAAAAAUACUUUGNNNNNNNNNNNNNNNNNNNNNNNNNNNNNNNNNNNNNNNNNNNNNNNNNNNNNNNNNNNNNNNNNNNNNNNNNNNNNNNNNNNNNNNNNNNNNNNNNNNNNNNNNNNNNNNNNNNNNNNNNNNNNNNNNNNNNNNNNNNNNNNNNNNNNNNNNNNNNNNNNNNNNNNNNNNNNNNNNNNNNNNNNNNNNNNNNNNNNNNNNNNNNNNNNNNNNNNNNNNNNNNNNNNNNNNNNNNNNNNNNNNNNNNNNNNNNNNNNNNNNNNNNNNNNNNNNNNNNNNNNNNNNNNNNNNNNNNNNNNNNNNNNNNNNNNNNNNNNNNNNNNNNNNNNNNNNNNNNNNNNNNNNNNNNNNNNNNNNNNNNNNNNNNNNNNNNNNNNNNNNNNNNNNNNNNNNNNNNNNNNNNNNNNNNNNNNNNNNNNNNNNNNNNNNNNNNNNNNNNNNNNNNNNNNNNNNNNNNNNNNNNNNNNNNNNNNNNNNNNNNNNNNNNNNNNNNNNNNNNNNNNNNNNNNNNNNNNNNNNNNNNNNNNNNNNNNNNNNNNNNNNNNNNNNNNNNNNNNNNNNNNNNNNNNNNNNNNUUCAGAUAUAUUUGUUCAUGUAUAAUACUUGUUCAGUCAUAAAUUUGUUCCUGCUAGUUCACAAUUAUAUUGUUGAAUUAUAGCCAGCCAAUUAUUCAAAUCAUUUCAAUCAUGAUAUAUCGUUAUAUUGUUAAAUUUAAACUUGCUGGGCAACUUUCAUGCUCACUCUUGCUAUAUCAUGAUAAACAUUGCAGAUUAAGACGAACGCGUCGGAUACAGGAAAAGAUUAAAGAAAGUUCCAACUUUAGUUUAUGUAUGUGAUUAAGAAUGUAAUAGUGUAGUUUGAUAAUAAAGUUAUGUGUUAGAUAUUUAUGAAAUAUGUAUAAGUUAAGGUUACUCGACCUUGGUGAAUAGUGUGUAAUAUAAUGUAUAAACAAUUUAUGUUUAUAUCUUCCGUAAAUAGUAAUAGUUGUAUAGAAUGAUAAAACCGAAUCCGAGGUGAUUUAGGACCUGGAUUCGGGGCCGUCACAGUAUGUAUCAAAGCUGUAGGUUAUGAAGCUUAGGUAGGAAUACCUGAGACUAAUAAUCGCAGUGAUUAGGAUAAGAUCUAACUCACAUAGAGUUAGUUGGUCGGUAAGAUUCAAAGACGAAUCUCGGCGAGUUAUAAGAUACAGAGUUCCCUAACUUUGAUAAUAAAGUUUAACAGUAAUGAUGAAUAGAUAGAGUCUAAAAGACUAAAAGUGCAGUGAUAGAAGAUCGUAAAAUAAAACGAUCAAGAUAUAGAAAUGAAUCGUGAUAUAUACGAUAAGAUUACCCCGUGAUCUGAUAAAGUGAUAGAAUGGAAAGAAUCAAUCUAAUGAUUGAAAAGUUUACAGCAAAGUUUGCUAUGUGGCAGUUGUACUAUGAAAUUGUACUAUGAAAAACUCAAGAAAGAGUUAUGGAUUAUGAAUACGGAUUAAAUGAAAUUCGUAUUGAAAAGGGUGUUAGUGGUAGGUGGGGAUUCAAUUGAGGACUCGUGUCAGCCGUUGAGUUGUAUGAUUCUUCGUAUGGGAGCUGAAUUGUACAUGGUGUAAAAACCACUUAAUUUCUGGCAAUGAUAAUCAUUGAAAUGUUUGUGUCGCGCUAUUUGCUAUAUGCGUGUUAAGAGGGUGAUUCCUUUCUCAUGUGUAUAACAGAUAGAUAGGUCAUAGGUAGAGGAUAUAAGGUUAAGUACGAGUUCUUAAAACUCAUACUUAUGUGAUAUUCUUGACUCAUAGUUAUAUGAAAUGUUUAUGAACCCCUCAGCGAAUGGACGCCAAAGGUCUGACUAGGGUAAGUUCUUAAACUCAUAUGAUUGUGGCAAGUUUAUGAACUCAUAAGUGUGGUUUGACGAACUGGGUAUAGUUGUGUGUAAAUGGAGUAUUGAGGAUUAUAGGAACAGAUAGAUUGUUAAGCAAAUGAUUAUUAGUGGAGACAUAAGUUUUCCAAAACUCCUAGCUAUGCUAGACUUCGAAAUUUUGACAUCAAGCUAAAUACGCACUAUGUGCUUUUAAAAAAAAAUAUGUAGACUCGUAAUCAUUUUUGAAACGGUUUAAAGUAUAGUCUAUGCUACUUAUUUCAGCUAGACGCAAAUGAUUUGAAAUAUCAAAAUUUAUUUUAUUUAUCACUCAUGUACCAUGUAACCUGGUGCAGAGAUGAUAAAAAUUUGAUGGAGUUGUAAAUACAGGAAUACUUAGUGUGAAUUUGAUCUAAAAUCGUUGUUCCACUAUUGUAUGAUGUGUUAUGACAAAGUCAUACAAUGACGGCAUCCUCAAACGGACUGUUAAUACAGUACGGCAUCAUGGCGUCAUUCUCGAAAAUAUUUUCAAAAAUUUUAAUUUGCCAACAGGGUUUGGCUACACCUGAAUAAUUCGAUUGAAUUGAAUUAUUGAUAUGAGUCUAUGCUAUUCGAUUCAGCUAGACUAAUGUUAUGAAAACACUAAAGUGUUCAUUGAAAGAAAUUUCCCGAACCAAAUUGCUUUGGUACGGAAUCCUAUGACAAGACUGAGGUGAACUAUGUAGAUUGGAUUAAAUAAUUCAAUAGCGAGAAUAUUCGCAAGACAUGAUAAACGUACGUACCAGCAAUAGUAGUUUACCUUCUUCGUGAUUGUAAACAUAUUGUUAACCUAUAUAAGGGGUAGAGUACCUUUUUCUUAAUUGAAAUAGGUAGUAGGUAGUAAUACCUAUAAACCUCAAUAGUUCAUUGUCUAUAUGACCCCUCAGUACAAUUUGAAAACUUUUACUCUUCUGAGAGGUGUAUUGGGUAGCAAAAGAAUGUGUGUGAAUGGUGUAAGGUGUAAGGUGUAAGGUAAAUUUCAGGGACGAAAUUUUUAGAAGAAGGGGUGAAUGUGACAACCCGAGAAUUUGGAAUAUUUUUAAAAUUUUUAUUAAUUGAUUUAAGGUUCAAUAUUAGAACCUAUGCAAAAAAUAAGUGUAUGCGUUUGAUAUUUUUAAGAUUGAAUUUUGAGGAUUUCAAAAUUCUGUGAAGGAUUUAGGUGAAUUAUUCAGGAUUAAGUAAUACGUGAAUAUGUUUUGUGUAUAUGUGUGCAUGAUGUGGUUAAGGGUCAAGGGUUGACCAGGUAAACGAUAUCUGUAACAAACCCUAAGUAUAUAUUAAGAACGUCAACGUUCGGUUAGAAAACCCUAGCGAUUAACAAGAAACCCUAAAAUCGGUUCCGGAAACCCUAAUUUCAGUUCUGGGAAUCCAAAACCCUAAUUCAGUGCAUGAAAACCUAAAUCGGGAAGUUAAUGGCAUAAGUGUAAAUAAUUAUAGUAUAUUAAUUAGGGUAAAGCUUAAUUAAUUAGUAAACCCUAAUUUCACAUUUUGAAAACCCUAAUUUCUGGUUUAGGAACCCUAAUCAGCGAUUUUGACCCUAAUUGCUUAAAUAGCGAUUUUAAUUAGGAAAUACUAAUCCUAAUUAGCAAUAUUUAAAUUAUGAUUAAGAAAUUUUAAUAUAAUUAGAAAAUUCUAAUUAUAAUUUAGAAAUAUUAAUUUUCUAUUUUUGAAAACCUAAAUUAGAAAUUUUAGAAAAUAAAUUGCAAACCCUAAAUUGGCUAAAACUCUAAACCCUAAAUGCUCCAAACCCUAAACCCUAACUAAACCCUAAACCCUAAGGGUUUGGUCAACUGUCCAAAAUGCCAUUAAAAUAAAAUGGAAAAUGACUAGAAUGCUCUUUGUGUAUUAUUUAAUGGUUGGAGUGUAGAUCUUGCCAUGAUCUUGGUUUGGUGAACCACCCUAGACCUAGCAUGUGACUUAUAGCUCACUUAUCAGCCAUCUUGGCCAGCCAUAUACAUUGAAUCUUGAGUUUAAAAGCAAAAAGUCUAGAAAAGUGAAUUACUUUACUCUUCAAAAUAGCCAAGUCCCUUCUCUCUCUAUAUUUUCGGAUCUUUGAGUGAGAAAGUGUGAGAAACAAAGCCAAGGUCAUGUAAUAACACACCAAGAACAGAUCAUGAUGAUCAGAUUCAAAGAUCAAAGCUUAGAAGGUAUAUGAACCCUAAACCUAGAAAUUUCAUGAUUUGAUGUAAUAUGUUGUAAUUUAUUGGCUAGAUAUGUGUUAGAGGGUGUCAUUUGAUGAUCUGGGUUGUCCAAACUCAGAUCCAUAUCAUUUUGAUGCUCGAAAUUUGAGUUUUCAUAAAUCUGGAAAUCUGGAAAAUUAAGGCCUGACAGCCUAAUGUCAGGACCUUUAGAUCCGUGUGUGUUAAGUCUUUUGUGUAGUUUAUGUUAUAGAUAUGUAGUAUGCCAUGUUGUCUUUAAUCUGGAAUUGAAAUCGUAGCUAUUGGAUGUAUAGUUUUCAUUUUUAUUCUUGGUCAAACACGGUUGACCGAGCUUGACCGGCUUGAUUCUGGGUUACCCAGAAUGCCUUGUCUAGUGUCUGACAGCGUUUUGUGGCCUUGAGAUCUGUCAGUAUAAAUGUGAUUUGUUGACGUUAUGUUANNNNNNNNNNNNNNNNNNNNNNNNNNNNNNNNNNNNNNNNNNNNNNNNNNNNNNNNNNNNNNNNNNNNNNNNNNNNNNNNNNNNNNNNNNNNNNNNNNNNUACGAUUAUAAACCAAGAAACAACCAAAAUAGUUAACAGAACACAUAGAUAAAUGAGAUUGAAAGUGGCAGCUCGAGUUUCUGGGUUUCUGAAGAAACCCAGGUUUAGUCUCUGACAGGGACUUUGAGAGUCCAGAUCAUUUUGAUGUAUUAUUGUUUUGAUCAAGUUGUUGGUUGUGUAUUGUAGUGUUACAUAAACACUAUACGAUCACAUUUUAAACUAUCCCAGAACAUGAUCAGAUUUGAAUUUAUUAACGGUCAAAGUUGACCCCUUGAAGUUGCCGGCUGUCAGUGUUCUUGAGCUCAAGAACACGAACAGCGACGCUUUCUGUGGUUAUAGACAUUUAGCGACGGUUAAUUUAAUUUUUGAAUUUCUGAUUUUCCGGAAAAUACUUAAAAAUAGAUAAAAAUUGUUUUUAAUUAUUAAAAAUAUAUAUUAAAUUAUGAAAAAUUAUUUUAAAGAUUAAAAAAUAGUUUUUAAUUAUUUUAAGUAUAUUUCAUAAAUAUUUAAUAUUUUUGGAAUAUAAAUGGUAUUUAAUUUAUUUAAUUAUAAUAUUAAAUAAAUGAUUUAAAAUUGAUUUUUAAUUCAUGAAAAAUCAUGAAAAAUAAUAUUAUGGUAUAAUAAAAUAUUUUUAGUUAUUUUUAGUGACUUUUAAUAUUUUNNNNNNNNNNNNNNNNNNNNNNNNNNNNNNNNNNNNNNNNNNNNNNNNNNNNNNNNNNNNNNNNNNNNNNNNNNNNNNNNNNNNNNNNNNNNNNNNNNNNNNNNNNNNNNNNNNNNNNNNNNNNNNNNNNNNNNNNNNNNNNNNNNNNNNNNNNNNNNNNNNNNNNNNNNNNNNNNNNNNNNNNNNNNNNNNNNNNNNNNNNNNNNNNNNNNNNNNNNNNNNNNNNNNNNNNNNNNNNNNNNNNNNNNNNNNNNNNNNNNNNNNNNNNNNNNNNNNNNNNNNNNNNNNNNNNNNNNNNNNNNNNNNNNNNNNNNNNNNNNNNNNNNNNNNNNNNNNNNNNNNNNNNNNNNNNNNNNNNNNNNNNNNNNNNNNNNNNNNNNNNNNNNNNNNNNNNNNNNNNNNNNNNNNNNNNNNNNNNNNNNNNNNNNNNNNNNNNNNNNNNNNNNNNNNNNNNNNNNNNNNNNNNNNNNNNNNNNNNNNNNNNNNNNNNNNNNNNNNNNNNNNNNNNNNNNNNNNNNNNNNNNNNNNNNNNNNNNNNNNNNNNNNNNNNNNNNGCUUAUGGUUAAUCAUUGCUGAUUGCCAUGUAUAAUUGUACUCUGUAUAUAUUGCAUGUAUAAGUCAGGUAUGAAAGUUUGAUCACCUUCAUUACCAGUUGUUUCAGAUAUAUUUGUUCAUGUAUAAUACUUGUUCAGUCAUAAAUUUAUUCCUGCUAGUUCACAAUUAUAUUGUUGAAUUAUAGCCAGCCAAUUAUUCAAAUCAUUUCAAUCAUGAUAUAUCAUUAUAUUGUUAAAUUUAAACUUGCUGGGAAACUUUCAUGCUCACUCUUGCUAUAUCAUGAUAAACAUUGCAGAUUAAGACGAACGCAUCGGAUACAGGAAAAGAUUAAAGAAAGUUCCAGCUUUAGUUUAUGUAUGUGAUUAAGAAUGUAAUAUUGUAGUUUGAUAAUAAAGUUAUGUGUUAGAUAUUUAUGAGUUAUGUAUAUGUUAAGGUUACUCAACCAUGGGGAAUAGUGUGUAAUGUAAUGUAUAAACAAUUUAUGUUUAUAUCUUCCGCAAAUAGUAAUAGUUGUAUAGAAUGAUCGAACCGGAUCCGAGGUGAUUUAGGACCUGGAUUCGGGGCCUUCACAAGUACAUCAUUCAUCCAACAUACAUCAUUAUAUAUGGAAAUAUAACAACAUACAUUCUCAAUUCCCAGGUUCUAAAAACCUUAUAACCUCUUUCAUUACAAAUAAUGAUAAAUACAUUAUUCCUUUCAUCUUAUAAGAGUGACUUUUAUCCGCCACCAAGGAUACAUAACAGUUCAUUAAACUAGUCUAUAGUUCAGUUUUAUCUUUCUACAUUACAAGUAUUUACUUGAUCUUCUCGCUCAUUCACAUUCUGAAUGGCACUUCAUCUGGAUAUCAUCAACUUGAUCUUUACGGGAUACUUAAGUUCUUCUAACGUCGUUCACUGAAAAUGUUUUUCAUUUAAAGCAAGUGUAAGCAUACAAUUGCCCAACAAGUCAUAACAUUUGAACAAACAACUUCAAGAAUUCAAACAUUCCUUUAGAACUUCGAUUACCGAACAAAGGUUAUGAAGUAGCUUGAAUAAUAGGAAUGAUCUCGAUUCCUAUCAUUUUAAAACAAUAUUCACUUUCACUUUGAAAUGCUUUCAUUCUUCUACCUUUUUCAUACAUAUUCUGUCUGGCUAGAAUCAUUAGCACAAACUUAACAAUGACGGAUCAUGUAUAAACAGAGCAUUCUCUUAUUGAACGAUUUAAUCACAGAACAACUCAUCUCAUAGAAACACCUAAGUGUUCACAUUGUGGCACAAGGCUUCAUACGUUCUACCACCUUGUACAAAUAUCAAUCAUUUGCACAUAGACAAAACUUCUCAAGUUCAACAUUUUAGAAGUUUAAGAAACUAGCAUUCAUUUAGAAUAUGAAUGAAGUUAGAAAACUUGCCUUACGCAUAGCUACAGUUUACGUCGAACUGCUCUUUCCAAUUCCUAUGUAGCAUAUCAGGAAAAACAACACAUACUCCAAUUAGUCAUAUAUAUUUGACUUACGCAUUGGUUUACUUAAUUUUACUUCUUAGGGUUCGCGUUCUUGCAAUAUAAAUUUACGCGACUAACUUUCAUUACCGGUUUACANNNNNNNNNNNNNNNNNNNNNNNNNNNNNNNNNNNNNNNNNNNNNNNNNNNNNNNNNNNNNNNNNNNNNNNNNNNNNNNNNNNNNNNNNNNNNNNNNNNNAGAUUCUUGAUAUAUGGAGAUGUCUUACUCAAUACGUUCAUCAUCUUUGAUGAUUUACAAUCUUAUCUUCUUCUUAUAACUCUUCUAGGACUCAGCACACAUCGCUUCUCUGCAAGUAGUCCAUAUGGUACUCUGAGUGGUUUCCCACAAACAACCACAAACAAGUUCCCGUCUCAUCUACACUGCCAUCAAAUUGAGUUAGAUCAGUUAUCAGUUUCGUAUAUACCUUCGGUCUCUAAAGGAAUUGUUUAGCCCAGCUCCCAUAUGUCAACCAUCAAAGGUUACGAUUUUACCACAACCUAAACUUAUCUUAACGUAUAUGAACUAUUAAACUAUAACGUAUACCUCAGGAUUCAUUCUUUAUCGUUUAAGUCAUAUAGUCUUUUGUAUACUCAGAGCAAUCAUUCAAGUUAAUCAUUAACUCGGCUUCCAUUAAUCUUAUUAUCGUUCGCUAUGAAUUUCUUGAUACCAUUCGUAUUACUUAAUACUUUCGUUAUCCAUUACAUGAACCCCAUGUUCAUUACUCGUUCUUAGUGUCGAAGCCAUACUGAUCGUUGUAUGCUAAGACCGAUUGUUCAUCGCAACAACGUUGUAUUCACCGCGUCUAUACGCUUUACACUUAUAUCUCAUUACCAAAAUAUAACAUCGAAAUGUUAUUCAUUACCUUCGUCACUCAAUGUCUAAGGAAUCACAAUCAUAGCAAUCCCUCACGUUCGUUUAUUGCGACUACGGUCCCCGGAUAUCGGUUCCGUAACCCGCGUCUACAUUCUUUGUCUUUUAAUCUCGCUUAAUCUUUCCGUUCAAUAUUUACUAAAGGUUUAACUCGCUUGAUUAAGUGUUACAUUAGUUUAAUAUUAUGUUCUUUAUCUUCCCUUACAUUUCCCCCAAGAGCUGAGCAGUUAAAGGCUCUUCUCUGACUUUUUCUCCACCCUGGCAUUGCGGCUCCACUCUCCCUUCUAUCUUACGCGCCUCGGCGCGAGUCUCCAGUCCCUGGCUCCCAGUUUGGCGCUGCAGCGUCACUCUACAAGGCAUGGCUGGCGCCGCUGAAAUAACUCGGGUCAAAUCUCGAGUCCAGAAUAAAUCUCGGGUCAAAUCCCAAGUCCGAAUCGAAUCAAAUCCAUCAAAAUAAGGCCUCAAACUACUAGCCCAAUAGUAUCUUCUUGGGUCAUCUUAGCCCACCACAGGCUCCCAAAAGGUCAUGACUUGAAGGUACUAUUGGUAGUAACUUAUUUUCUUAUAUGCAGACCAAUUUUUCCCCUAUCUUUCAAUGUGGGACUGGGGUGUUACAAACUCCCCCACUUAAAUUUCUGACGUCCCCAUUAGAAUCCGAUCACACACACACAACCCAAAGAUCUUUGCCUCUCUAGCCAUUGUGGGAUAAUACCGGCUGGCUUCGUGUCCCCACCUCCGGACCUCCAUCUCUCCAUUGUGGGAUAAUAACACCAGCCUUCGUGUCCUCACCUCCGGCAACCUGAUCGGAUGACCCGACCCGACCCGAGCUUUCGAGAGUUGGCUUUGAUACCAUAUGAAACAACCCGGGUUAAAUCUUGAGUCCGGAAUAAAUCUUGGGUCAAAUCCCAAGUCCGAAUCGAAUCAAAUCCAUAAAAAUAAGGCCUCAAACUACUAGCCCAAUAGUAUCUUCUUAGGUCAUCUUAUCCCACCACAGGCUCCCAAAAGGGCAUGACUUGAAGGUACUAUUGGUAGUAACUUAUUUUUUUAUAUGCAGACAAAUUUUUCCCCUAUCUUUUGAUGUGGAACUGGGGUGUUACAGCCGCGGCGCCAAGCCCUAACCCUAGAAAUUUUUUCUAAGUGUUAACUUAUUCUGAGACGAUUUCUUCCUGCUUCCAUAACUUAUUCGUUAUAACUCGGAAUGAAGUCAUUCCAAAGCCAUUUUCUUCCUUAUCUUACGUACUUCAAUACCCCUCAGACAGAACUUUGUUCUGAAUCAUUUAACAUGCCAUUCGAUUGGCUUAAUCUUCACCCUUUGUUCAUCUUACGUUUUUAACGCUCUUCGUUCGUUCGUCUGUAAUUUGGUCAACCGAACUAGGAACUCAUUCGUUCUUGAGUCCAUGACUCAUGUUUUCUAAGUUCUUUUACUUUUUUAUGAAACCCUACACGUUCGGGUUCAUUUAAUAACUUUCUAAUUCUCGUUCGCCCUUUACAAAAAUUUUGUCAUAACUUCGUUAUAGCUCAGUUUUAAUUCGUUCUUCAUGAACGUUUCUACCGUUCCUAACCAAGCAAUACACAUCUAACUUAUACGCGAUGGUUUUAAAUUUGUCCAUCACCAACAAUUAUUCUAUGAUGGUUUUAAAUUUGUCCAUCAACAACGUUCUUCGCGUUCUUCACGUGUUCUUCGUGUUCUUCGUUCGUUCUUCAUUUUUAAUCGAUAUUUAGAUUACGAUUUCACUUUUUCUUGGAAUUUGAUGUUAUAAAAUACCAUUUCUUACUUAUUUCACCUACUCAUUCAUUUAAUCCACUCGGAUCGUUCAAAUUCAUUACGAAUCUUAUACUUCCUUAAGAAAUUUUUAACAUAAACUUCAAAUUCUUAUUUUCUUUAUUUUCUCAUGAUUUCAACCAUAUGAAAUAAUUCCUAACAUCUUUUACCCCUUAUUCUUAUUUAAGCUAUGUUUUUUAACCUAAAAACUUAAGAAAAAAUAUACGAGAUAAGGUUCCAGAUUACCUUUCUCAUUUAAUCUCUUUCCGUCGGACAAAGGUUACUCACGAGCAAGUUUUUCCUCUUCCUCUUCUUUCCCCCAUCCGAACUCUCUCUAAAAGUGUAGGAUUUUCAAAAUCCCAAAAUAAUGAAAUAAGCUUCCUAUUUAUAGAAAACCAAGGUUAUGGGCGUUUUAGUCAUUUCGCCCCAACCUCCUUACUAUUCACACCUCCUUACUAUUCCCGUAGCUUCCCUUGGAAGCUUCGUGGUUCCGUCUUUCCGGUUUCGUCCGACGGUUUUAAAAACUGCGAUUCUCGGAAUCCAAAUAUUUUUGGAUAUUUUGUAACUUUUACGUAUUCUUCGGAUUUCCAAAAAACUGAAAAAACACUUUUUAACGUUAAGCAUUUUCCUUCACGUUUUCCCCUAACGUAGUUAAAUGAGUGAAAAGUACAUAGUAGUACUUUUCGUCAUUUUUAUUUCGUCCGAUUUUUGUACAUUUUUCGAGAAAAACUUUUAUCGGCUUACUUAACUUUUCACGAUAUAUUAUCGUCAAAUCUUUCGACAAAAUGUCAUUUUGACAUACCAAACUCUCGGAAAGGCUUAGGUUAUUCAAACCCUAACCCUUAGGGUUUCGUCGGGUGAAUUGUGUAUAUUUCGUCUUUUUCCCCAGAAAUAUUUUUGUUCCCAGAAAUAUUUUAUUUUCUUCUUGAAAAUUCUUAAUCGUUCAGUCUAGCUCGUAGCCAGAAUCCUCCCGACUUAUAAUCAUCCUAGGUUAUAGAACGAUUAAUAAACACGUAGCACAUAAUAGUAUUAAUAAAAAAAAAUUCAUUUUAUUAAUAACUAAUUCUUUAAACUUAAAUUCUGGACAAUCCGAAUUUCCGGGUUGUUACAUAAUGCAUAAUAAAUUAUCGUAAGCCUUCAAUAAUGUUAAACUGAUAAAAAUACAAUAAACAUCAAGUUUAACUACAACGGAACAAGCAAUCCAUUAGAAGAGUCAAGUAGAGCAUGAUAUAUACUAUCUUCUAUGAUUUAAAAAGUUUUUCAUCAACUUUAUUGUUGAGACUCAACUUAAUAAAUAAACCACAUCAUCGAAUCAUCCCCGCACUACGGGCCAAAGAUAUUCAUGUAAUCAUCAAUGUUCAUGAUCAUACCAACAACUGUCCAUCAAUGCACUACGGGUCAAUGAGGACUUUUACCACAUCAUUUGUAACAUUACGGUCAUGAUUAUACCGAAUAAUCCCUGGUCAUAAUCAUACCAAUCAAUAGUACAUCUAUGCACGUAAGCCACAUAUGACUUUUAUCACAAUAUAAUCAUGAGGAUGAUCACAAUGAUAUAAGAAUUCAAUUAAAAGAAAGCAAAGGGUAAAUUUUUAAAGAUUUAUAAUUUAAUUUAUCCAGAAUUCAAUAAUGUCUAAAUUGUCAACAUGAUACUGCUUUGUGGAGUAAAAUUCAAGAAUAAUAUUGUAUCAAAAAUGAUUUGGACAUCCAACAUCCUGACAACAUAAUUUUAAGGUUUAGUUACUAAUCGGUACUAGCGAACACGUAAUUUAUCACAUAAACACAUAAAGUCUUUUAUUAUCUUCAAUGAAUUAAGGAAUUCAUUUCUUAGAACUCGAUAAGAGUUUUCCUUCACUAUGUUAUUCCUAUAAGGCUACUACCUAAGGUUGUUCCCCCACCUAAGGUUCAUAACCUACAGCUCUGAUACCAACCUGUGACACCUCCAAAUUCGGGUACUUCAAUUCCCACAUGAUUUGGUGUUCACUAUUCAAACAUCAUAUAUCUAUCUACCCAUAAUAAAUGAAAGCAUAAAUAGAUAGAAAUAAAUCCUCUCCUUAAGGAGUUACAUCAUCUGAAAUAAUUACAUAAAUCCCAGGUCAUGCUAACCUUAAUUCUUAACUGCGGAAACAUAAAUAAUUUAUAAUCUUACACAACAUCAAUAUAAGUCUAAAACAUAAAUUCAAUAUCACAUAAAAUAACAAGUCUUCAUCUCUUGUUAAUCUUGCCCUUGCCUUUGCUAGUAGAAGGCUCGUCGGACCUUUCGUUCUGAACUGCAAUGUUAUUAUUACGCAAGAGUGAGCACGAUUGCCCACAAGUAUAAAAAUGAAAUAAUAAUAUAAUAGCAUGCGAGUGAAUCAAAGACUUCUGGAAUAAAAGCUCAACUUUUGAAUCAAGAAUAAAUAACAAGAAUCAAAAGAUUUCUGAGGGUCAUAAGACCUUGAACUAUGUCCUAGGUUAUCAAGGGUUAUACUUGAAACCUUUAACAGUCAUAAGACUGUGGACUUUUCUACUCGUACUUAGGGGGAUCAACCCUUAGUACCAUACUGUGCACAAUAUCUUAAUGCUAACGCAUAAGUAAUCCCUAUACAGAGUUGUUCAUCUCAGUUUGACAUUAGAGUCCGCACCAAAGGAAGUUUGGUUUGGAUAAAUCAAUAAGGGUUCUGAAAUUUAGAACGUUCAUCAACUAUAGACUAGUUGAAUCAAUAAGGGUUCACUAGUCCAACAGGGUUCAAUAGUAAAUGAUAUUUAAAUCGAAUAACAUUUUUAGUAGGUAUACAAUAUAACAAGUAUUGUAUAACGAAAAUCAUGCUUUGAAAAGAUAAAUAAUCUUUAAUAUAACAAAUUGAACUUGAUUAAUAAUAAUGAGAAUUUACUCGGCGUAAAUUAUAAACUUUAAUAGUGAUAACAAGUAGGGUUAGGAAACUUGCCUCGUGCGUAGAUUACACAUUAAUUAUACUUGUUCCUCGAUUUAAUCCUACAUACCAUUCAUGUUUACAAUACCAGUCAAUUAUAACGUAACUAGUCAUUACAAGUUCAUUCUUUUCGUCUAACUCGGAUUAUGACUAUACUUAGUCAAAAUACCACAUUUAUUGUCACAUAAUUUUACACUUCACGAACAAUAAGUUAACUAUAUGUUUAAUCAUUCAAUCCACAUGUAACUGUGUUAUUGACAUGUUAAUAACUUAUUUUAACGUCUCGUUAUACUUCUAACAUAUUUUUAUGUUCAUUAGAUUAGGUUACUAUCACAUUCUUAGACUUGAACAAUUUAAAAUUUUCAUUUGUGGACAUUCUGCAGAGUGGCGUUGCGGCGCCACUUAUAGGCUUGUACUCGGCGCUGCGACGCGGUGGCGUUGCAACUUGGCUUUUGGCGCUAUGUGAAAGUAAUAUGCACACAAGCCAAUCAUGUUUGAUGAUAAAGCAUAUACUUUGUAACAAUCUUAUUCAUUUAUUAAUAAAAAGUAUUAAUUUAUUAAAGGCUUUUAAUUAUCUAUAUGAUGAUGUUUAUAAUAUGUGAUAAACUCAUAGUUUUAAGCAAUGCUUUUAGAAUAAUGAUGAUGAUCAUUCUAAUGAGAUCUAAAUUCUUAGAAAGCUUAAAACUAAAAUAGUUCCCAAUUGUUGAAUUACUAAAUUGGGGAUUAGUGAAUCCGGAUAGAUUGGUACAUACGUUGCUUGCUCAUUAGAUGAGGAUGAUUGAUCUCAUGAUCAUUUGUGUGGAGACACUAAAGCAAGUAUGUAGGUGCUUAUUAGAGAAUAAGUUCACUGAACGUGGCUCACUAAGGAAUACCUAAUGGAGUUUUACUUGCCUGUCAAUAGGAACUCCUGUAGUGAUAGUAGUACAAGUGAUCCUUGAACUUGAGAUCAUCAUAGUAUCUUGUGUAUGAUGAGUUAUACUUUGACUUAUUCCUUAAGACCCUUAGGGUAUAUCAAAAGGUAUGCUUAGGUAUAAUAAUUUAUACAUGGAGAUAAUGUAUGAUCAAUAAAGAAUCUACCGCUUCUAGUAAAAGAAGAGAAAUGUCCUAUGUGAUUCGAUAAAUGACAACCCAGUAGUCCUUGGCCAAGGCAGAAUGAAAUUAGAAAGGAGUUUCUAAUUUGCAUUAUUUGGAGUUGUGCAUUUAAGAGUCGAAAUACAUAUAAUUAAAUAAAAUAAGACUUGACAGUAAUUCCAUGUCUUAUAUUUAAUUGGGACAUUGUAUGGUGGAAGGAUUGAAUUGUACGGUAACUAUUUACUCAAAGGUUCUUUUAUGAUUAAUGUUGAAAUCUAUAUUAUCUGGAAAGUCGUUGAUCGCUAGGGAGGCUUAUCCCUAUUGUAGAAUAAAUAUUAUUUAUUUAAAUAAAUUAAUAGUUUAAUUUAUUUAUUUAAAUAAGAUUAGAAUUGUUCUAAUUGAUUUAUUCACAACCGGUUUAAUAUGGAGAACCUAAAGGGUCACACCAUAAAAGGAAGAAUAAUUAUUUAAGAAGUUAAUGGCAUAAUCGUAAUAAUAUGUUAAGUAUAUUUAAUUUAAUCUAUGGUGAUAGAAUAAAUUAAAUAGCUUAAUAUUUAUUAUUUAAUAUUUUAGAAAUAUUAAAUAUAAAUUAAUAAGAGGAGUCUUAUUAAUAUUAUUACAAUUAUUAUUAUUUUAAUUUCUAAAAGAGUUUAGGAAUUAAUUUAAUAUAAGUACUCUCAUUUAUUCCUAAUAGGAUUAGGAGGGAAAAUUAGUUAAAGGAGUUUAAUUAAUUAUCCCUAAUAAGAUUAGGAAGCCCAUUUAAUUAAAAGAGUUUAAUUAAAUAAAUAAUACCUUAUUUUAAUUAAAUAGGAUUACCUGAUAUCUUUAUAACAAGAGUCUUAUAUCAUAUAUCAGAUACGCAAUUCCAAUAGUUGGAGAGUACGUUCUAUUUCUAUAGAGAUAAAAAACUAGGGUUUAGCCAAACACCCUUAUUCUUGAAUCUUUCUUCUUCCUUGGUGGAUCACCUCUAGAGGCCAAACACUUGGGUGGCUAACGUUGAUCAAAGGAAGGAACCAAACCCGGUAGAUUCAAGUUGAACGCGAAAAGAUUGGAGGUGAACUUGUACCUGAGGAAGCUCGAAUCUUCAAGGGUAUGAUUCUUGUUCUUUCUUUUUUCGUUUAAUUAAUAAUUGUGCAUAAAGGAUGAUUCGAGUAUAUGGUUUGUAAAUUUUUUAAAACUCUAAUUUUCAUGUUUCCACUUAUUUUAUGCAAAUUGAUUGUGUUCAUGUAUAUUACAAACCUAACACUGCGGCGCGGGAAAUUGAAGAACAUGGCCAAAACCUCCAAUUAAAUUAUUUCUACACGAAUUUAGACAUACCCAAACAUUGUCAUACACAUAUAACUAUUACUUAACCCUUCUAGCAUGAUUUUAAUAUGUUAUAACACAUAAUUUGCAGAAUCAAAACAUAUAAUUUACUGUUCUUGAUAUUCUUGAAAGUUUUGAAUAGAAAACAUGAAAAUCAACAUUACAGUUUCAUUAUAAUACUGAAUCUGUUCAUUUGAAGUUUGAUCUCUUAGUUUUAAUAUACAUAAUCAUGUACCAGUAUAAAUUUAUGAUAUAACAUAUGAUUGACGUAUCAAAUUUGGUACGUAAGGCCAUAUGGCCAUAUUUUUAUUCUCUGUAUUUUGAAGAAACAAUGUACGACAUAAUUUUUAUGAAAUUGAUGAUAUGGAAAUAUAAAAUAUACAAUAAAACAUGUUAUAAUAACAUCUUACCACAUAUAUAACAUAUAAUCACUACCCUUUUCCAAUUACAGAGGUUUUACAAAACUUUGAAAACCAUUUUCUUAUAAAACUUAAACAACGUAAAUAAAACCCGGGUUAAAGAAAUUACCCAAAGCGUAGAAUGUAGAUUAGUAGGCUCAGAUGUUUCUUCAAUUACUCACUCUCAAUUUCCUUCUCAAAUUCUCAAAUUCUCUCUGACCAAUUCUCAAACUCUCUCUGACUAUUUUUCUAGACUUGGCAAACAAAUGAAAAAUAAGACGUAAUAAUUUUAUUAAAAGAAAACUGAGCGCAGUUGUGGUGGUCAGUCAACCCAUCAUGGGUUAACUGGUACUAACUUCUCUUAGGGCCUCGUUUGGUUGGUAAUAAUAGACUCCAAACCAUUUAAUUUAAUGAUUCUCUUAUACUAUAGUUUAAAUCAUGUCACACCCAAUUACACAAUAAAUCAAAUAUCUUGUUUAAUUUAAUUUGAAUAAAAUAUAAUAAUUUCUCAUUGGUUCACAUAAUCACAUAAUUAAUUUUCUCAUUGAUUAAUUAUGUCAAAUUAUUAAAUCUCAAAUGAAUUAUUAAAAUAACAUUAUGCUUAUUAAAUAUUUCAUUUAAUUCAAUAAGCUCACAUAAUUACAUAAUUUGAAUAAUAAAAAUACUCCACAUUAAUUUAAUAAAUAUAACACAUAUAAUUAAAUUAAUCAACCAUAACUUUAUCAAUUAAUUAUUUAAUCUAAUAAUUAAAUCAUCGAGAAUAUUUAUUUACAUCAAUAAAUAUUAAAAUUAAAUUACAAAAUCUCGUUUGUCACAGUUGCUAUCGGAUGCGGAUGUGAUGUGGGUCCCUUACACCGCCGAGUAUAUGGCAGAGGGAUUUGAGGGAGGUUUCUCGAUAGGGCCCUAAUAUGCUUUAUCCACACGUCAGGUUCCUUUACCGUUUCAUGGAGGCUGCGAGCUCUAUCUUGGGGAGCGUGCCUUUAGUGUAUCAUGGGAGAUUUGUAUUCCCUUUCUUCCCCUUGCUCAGCAAUUUUGGCCUCUAGCUCAGCCGAUCUCAGAGAUCCAUUUGGUAGGUCAUGAUGGGUUCCUUUUGUCGGACGACCCCAACACUUCAGCUAUUUUUUUUUCUCUUUGGUGGGUGCCCCGUACCAUCUCAGACCCAUGUUGCCCAAUUCUUGGGAGAUAUGGUUUUGGGGUUUUUGAUGAUGAACAACUGGAUGGCUUAUAUCCGAGAGCCGACUCAUCAUUUAGAUUACGGACUUGAACAACGGGUUGAUCGAAUUUCCCUCUUUAUUCGUCAUUUGGGUAGGGAUCCAUCCGAGGCCGAUACUUUUGAUCCUUCUGGGUUCGAGGUUGGUCUGUCCGGUAGUGGUGGUUUUACUGAUAGAGGAGAUCCUUUAUUCUACCGCCCAAAUAUGCAGGAUAUGAUGACUCAGAAGGACCUGACCCCGGUCGACCGGUUUGAUGAUGUCAGUACUUUCAUGGAUGACGUAGAGUUCAUUUGAUAGGCUUAUGUUAGUUUUUUAGCAUCUGUGCCCCAUUUUCUUGUACUUUUGAUUUUUUAUUUUCUCCUGUUUCAUUAAGAUGAUGUUGAUGUAUAUAUAAAACCAGAUGUAUUCCCUACACACACACACACACACACACACAUA